CUAGCAGGCAGAGUCCUGAGUGCCUUUAUUUCCAAGUUCAGAAGAAUGCAUGUAGGUGAAGAUUAGAAUGGCCUUGUAGUGAAUAUGUUUAAGCCUAUAAAAUUAAAGUAGAAAUUGGUUAAAGAGCAAUAAAAUUUCUUUCUGUUUCAUGAAUGCUUAGCAGCGUUAUAAAGACGUGAACAUAUCGCCAUGUUUCAGUGAGCUACAGCCUUACCCUUUGAUAUGCUUAAUUAUUUUCAAGGUCAUUUCUUUUUAUAAAAUCAAGGCAAGCUGGAAAAUGUCAAGCAGCCUACAAGUAUAGAGUGAACUAUUUUCAUUGUCAUUUUAUAGUCAUAUAUAGUUGUGGUUUUGAGUUUCCCAGUUACAACCAGUCACUGAGUGUAAGAGUCACAAUAAAUUCUAUUAGAAACAUGGCAUCCUUUAUCUCUUCAACCCUUAAUGUUCCAAGGAUAUUUUCAAAUGAAAGAAUUAUAAAAAUUAGUUGAUGUGUUCUAGGAAUAUGCACAUUUAAAACUUCAAGUUAACAAUACAGAUGAAGGUGAUUAAAUGUGCAAGAGCUAGCUACAAGAAGAGAAAUGUAGUUGAGGCUACUGCUGAAGGGAUUUAUGUAGUUAGCCUCUAAGCCACUUAGGUUAUAUAUUAAGCUGGUUGUGCUCUACCAUUUCGGCUGAAGAUAACUUUCCCUUACAUAAAGCAAAUAUUUAGUAACAAGUGAGGUAAGUCUGAGUUGUUCAUUAUGCAGGUAUAUGGUAAGUUGAAAUCCUGACCAUAUGACUAAUCUCUGUACCUCUGAAUAACCCUCACAUUGUAUUGUACUUAAAGGUUUGAGGUGAUACUUAAGUAGGCAUUGUAACUGAGAAAUAUGAUGAUAAGUUUCAGAUUUUUGCUGCCACCAGCUGUUAGGAAGUGCUGGUUAUUUUGUAAUGAUGCCCGAAAACCAUAGAUUCCUCAGCAUUAUGAAAUUUGGAUUUAGGGGUAACACAAACAAAAAUUCCGGAUUCUUGAGGAGAUAAGAAUUUUAAAUGAUUCAAGAACAUGCACACCAAUUCUCUUAGUUUAAAAAUAAUUAAUAUGCCUUACGUGGCAGUAGAGUUCAGAUCAGUUGACUGUAAUCUUCAGAAAUAUUUAUUUGUAUGGUGUCAACUUAGGUCGUCUCUGAGACACAUUCCAUUUGAUACUUCUGCCUGCCUCUGACAGACUUCUUUUCCCAGAAACACCCCCCACAUAUGCUUAUUCUUGUUAGCUUAACCUAGUUCUAGAAUGUUCUUUUAGGGUAAUUGAGGUAAGACUCCCUUUUCACUUAGCCAACUUGGAGUUGUUGGCAUUUCAAUUAGUAGUCAUUGUGGUACAGCAUUACUUCAUCUUUCUCACUUUAGAUACAUUGCUCCCACCGAUUUAGGUUGCAUAGUAGUCCUUCUCUGAUAGAUUCACCAAGAAACUAGUGUCGCUUAGCCAGCCAGGUACACAUCAACACGCUUUGACUUCACUUACUGUACCCACAGCUCUGCCACGCUGUCCUCUUCUGUUCCUGAAACUCUCCAAGCUUGAACCCAGCCUGUUAUCUUUGUAAUAUUUUUUUUUACCCUCCUGCAACCAACAUACAUGCACUAUUGCCUGGCAAACUCCAACUUCUAGGAGUUUUUGGCUUGAAGACUGCUAUUGGCUUAACUAGAGAAGAGUAAUAUGAAGGUCUGCAUAGAGGCCAGAUAAGUCAGAGCUAUACAUUAAAAGAAAAAUCAGGAUUUGGGAAGACGUAUUCCUGCCUGUCAUUUGAAAUAUACUUUCAUCGGCCAGACCUGUAUUUGAUUCUCUUUUUACGUUUAGAAGUACAAUACUUUUAAGCCAUACAUUUGAUAAGAAUGAUCAAACCACCACUUUGUUGCAGGUGUACUGCUAGGCUCCAUGGGUACAUCUAUUCGCGGAGAUAGAAAAGUAAAUUAAUGAUUACAAUAGAGCAUCAUAUACCAAGGUGGAGGCAUAGACAGGGGCUGGCAAACAUGAAGGAGGCCAUCAAAAUCAAAGGUGGAGGCCAGAGAAGGCUUCCUGGAGAAACGGUGCCUGAAUUGCUUUCUGAAGAACUCGUAAAACAUAACCUGAUGAAAACGGGUUCAGCCUGGAAGAGAGGACACCUGAAAUGGAGGGAACAGCCUGUGUAAAGAUGGAAACAAUCUAACAGCUUAGCACAUAGAGAAAACCGUAAGUCACUCAGUCCUCAGUGAGUUUGAAGUUCAUGCUGAAAGCCGUAGGGCCCCAGGGAAGAAACCUCUUGGGAAAAUAGGGCUUUACAGCCACAGUGAAGACAGUCUGUCAUGCUUGGCGGCAUGCAGGUGAGCUAUGCCAGGUGUGCCAGGCAAGCUGCAUGUUCAUUUGUAGAGGACUCUGCUUUGAGGUGCAGGGUGGAGCGGGGUGGUGCUGCCAGUGAACAAAGAGAAUGAGGCUUACCUAGAGCAAUCGCUGGAACACCUGGCUUGUCUGAUGGCAUCGUCUCGCAGUCCCAGCAUGCAUGGUAGUAAUGUUCAGGGCGAGAGGAGUAAGCAAACAGCUCCAGCUUCUGUCUGCUGCUGCUCUGGAGAAUAUCAGAGGAGCUCUGCCAGGUCUCACAGGUUCUUUUACAUUCACUAUCUCUAUUUCAUCUUCCCAGAUUUGAAAAUAAUUGUUUAUCCUGGAUGUGAUCUGAAAGUGUUUCCCCAAUGCUUACCGACAGGAGUCACCCGCAGAUCCCUCACUCACUGAUGUCCCCCAGGUGAGAACUUGCUAUAGCUCUGUGUCAGGAAUUUGGGAACAGUGUUGCUGGUAAUGUGGAAAUCAUGAGAGACGUCAUGUGGAGUUAGACAGCAGCCACCUUCAUAGCUCCCUGCCUUUCUCACUUCUCCUAGACCUCUUGAUUCUCUGAUUCCUCAGGAAACUCAAUUACCUUUUCUUCAUUAUGCAGAGCAAUUUAAUUCUCAAACAUCCUUCGGCUCUGGGCCCACCUUUGCGCAUUCAGAAGCUCAUUAAUGUUUCAGCACCGAGGAGCUGGCAGGAGCAUUGACAUUUCAGCCUUGUCUUUCCUCCCUCCCCAGGUAUCUCAGAGUGAGAAGCAGCAGUAGAGAGAUUUGCUUUCCCACUAAGAUGAAUUUUCACCCCCCAAACCUCAGCAUCAGAUGAAGAUAGUCAUUUUCAGUUUUAAUAUUUUUUCCUCUAUGCAUAUUAGGUAGGUGAAGAAAAACAUAGAAUUCUCUCUAUCUAGAACUUUGAAAUAAAUGAAAAUAUUAGAACAAAUAAACACUUCUUAUAAAUGUGAGUGAAUGGGACAGGAGGUAAUAACCGGAAUGGAUUUGGAAGAAUGAAUUGUGUCAGCUCAGACUCAGAGGCAUAUUGUUAAAGCAGGGAUAUGAAGACAGCAGCAGAGUACAGGGGUUACAGGCAUGAAUUUAGGAGUCGGAUCAAGCUGGGUUAUAAUUGUGUCUCCUCUCAUUCCUAAUCUGUGAAUUUAGCUGAGUCAACUUAACCUACUGAGUUUGCUUCAUUAUUUGUAAAAUAAAGGUAAUACCACCAGGUGAAGUGGUACACUCCUGUAAUCCCAGCUCCUCAGGAGGCUGAGGCAGGAAGAUCUCUUAGGCCUAGUAGUUCAUGACCAGCCUGGGCAGCAUAGCAAGACCACAUCUGGGAGGUGGGGUGGCUGCUGCGGGGGGGUGUGGAGAAUAAAAAAGUACUCCCCCUGCUCCAGGACCUGGCGAGCUCCCAUUUCACUCACAGUCUUCCUGGGCUGUGCUCCCGUCAUGUUCCCUGCACUCCUACACCCUGGUCUUCUGUUUCACAAGCUGGACCUAUUAUCCUACAAGGGACUUCACACUUGCCAUGGUCCUGCCUAGGAUGCUUCAGCAGACAUGGCUUAUCGUAGGCCAGUGCCCAUUCUUGCUUUCUUCCUACUAACAGGGUUUCAGGUUUUUUUGGAGGGGGGAGGGGGAGCUACAAAAGGCCCAUCCAUGCCAGUUAAAAGCAAGAAACUUCCUUAGCUUUAUUGUAUCUGUGGGACAGUUUAGAGCAGAUAUAAGUGAACACUUAUGGGCAGGGCUUCUGGGGGAGAUACUGUUUGCUGAUAGGAAGGGACUGACUAGGCUGGCUAGGCACCCUGCCCUUCAGCCUUCCCCAUUCUUCAUCACUGGAAGGCUGAGUUACUGCUCAGUAGUAGAGCAGCCCUCUGGUGAGCUGCACACCAGGAGGGGCAAAGAAAAAGGUAUAAGGAGCUUGGCUCCCUAAUGGCAUUGUGGGACUCCAGUGAGAACAGGGACCCUUUCUGUGGGUAAAUCAUUUUAUUUGGUAUUCUGCUGAAAGCAGUGAAUUCCAGCUAUCACACGUGCUUUCCCCCCAGCACUUUAGAAAAUCUUUCUUAGUGGUUGGCACUCUUAUUCUUCAGGACUCCGUUGAAUGUGACUGCCUCAAAGAUGCCUUCCUUGGUCAUUCCCUCCAAAGUAGCUCUUCUUCCACAUGCUUGUGGUAUUCUGUUUGAUUGUCACCACAUCAUGAACAUUAUCUGAAAAUAUCUUCUUAUCAAUUUACUUCUCGGUACUGCAUAUCUCACUCUGGGUAGAAUUAAGCUCCAUUUUGGAAUAAGGACCUCAUGUAUCUUGAUCAUUGCCCUAUCUGUACUGAGAAGUAUGCUGAUGUAAAGCAGGUGCUCAGUAAAUGUUUCUUAAAUGCAUACAAAACGUGUUGUCUAGAUUAAAGAGCAACUUUUUACAUUUAAUCAGUAGUUUGUCAGGGAGAGGAAUAUUAAGGUGGAAUUCAUGGUGUUGGAGUGAUUAUAUCCCUUUAUAUUUAUGUAUUCUGGUUUGUCUGUAUAUUUAUGUGUAAAUAUAAUUCACAUCAAUAAAUGAGCAUGUACUAUGUGCUAGAAAUUCUAAGCACCUUCUACCUUUUCAUAUUUUUCAAUAAAUAGUUUUAUAAAAAGAGUAAAUAUAAAAAAGUAUGCUUUAUUAUACUGGGUAGUUCUUAAAAAAAAACAAAGCCAAUUUCCUCUUUUAACCAUUGUGUAUUUAUUUAUUUAUUUAUCUAUCUUAAAGUGUUUCUUCAAAGUGAAAGUUGAAAUGUGUGGUAAACUUUCAAAUAGAACUGCAUUUUGUCUCAGUAGAAAAUUCUCCAUCAUAUACAUCUCCGUGACUUUGUGUCAAAACCUACUAUUUUACCUGUCAAGAUGUUCUUCUUCCCUUACUGUGCAUUUCAGAGGAUGAAAGUACAUAGAAUGAAAUUUUAGUGUCAGACACAUCAAUUACAAACCAACAGAGCUGUUUCAUUUUUCACCAAUGAUGGAGAAAGAGAGUCAGGGAAAGAAUGAGUCUAUUUUUACCUGAAAGUAGCAGCAUUCAGGAUAAGAUGUCUUCACUCAGAAAUCAGUCGUACCCUCGACUGUGGAGCAGUGCAGGCUUUAAUAAUUCAUUCUGAAACCUGUGCUUCCCCAGCUAGUGCUCCCUGGCUCUUUACUUAUUUAAAGGUCUGUUUACCUCUCAGUUUGCACCUGCAACUGUCCAUUCAAUCUGCUGUGCAUAACCAGUGGGGAAAUAAGCCCAUUAACUAGAAUAAUUUAAGCACCUCAGCUUCCUGCAUCUUCAACCUAGUGGGGUCUCACUGGCAACAUAUUUCUUUAUGAAGCUCAUCUUUCAUCUGAACCACAGGUCUAGAUCCUUAAUGCAGUGAUCAGAAGCUUGCGAUUCUGUGGCACUUGAAGAUUUGGAAGCCCCAUAAUAUAUGGUCUGGUUUGCAGAUUCUCAAAGCAGUUCCACUAGGGAUUGAUACAUCCGUGCUGGUCUCUUGUGUAAUUAACCACAACAACAGAUUGUAGCAGAAUAUAAAAGAAGGAAGCUGACCUAUGGGGAAAAAGACAAAACUUACUGUUGUGGCAAGGAGGGACUUCAUUCUUCUAGGACAGGCUCUCCAGGUGGCCUGAUAAUGGAUAUAGAGGAAUUCUAGCAUUGAAUUAGGCCUUUUGCAUCUGACAAAGGAGAGGAUUAAAAGGAGUAACUUGGGAGGGAAUGUCUGUUGGCAUCUGUUUGCUUGAUGAUCCACCCAUGAUGCCUGACCGGAUGAGAGCCUGUCUUUGGGAAGCUCAUGAGUGCAUAAGAAACAGAAUUGCUGCUGUUUCUUAAACCAGGCAGUGUUCUGGUGAAGAACGUGGGCUCUGGGACAAGAGGGCCGUUUGCUGGUUGUUUUCUCUUGUCGAGUUAGUUAUCGCUCUGCCUCAGUGUUCUCAUCUAUAAACUGUGAGUAGCCAGACCUCCCUGAAGGACACUUGCUGGCAAGGCCAAAACACAAGCUACAAACAGAGGCCAAGCAGUGGAGCUGGGGGGCGCCCCGAAGGGACAGGUAACAGGCAGUGAUGCCAAGGGCAGCUCUUGUCCUCGUCCCAGACUUCGCUACUCAUUGGCUUUGCUGAUGUAAGCACUAAGUAAAAAGCCCUGCUGCUCCAAACAGAUGUGAGGCGAAGGUUUAAGCUUUGUGGUCUGCAUGUGACCUUUUCAUCUUUGCCCUCGUACCUCCUAGCAUCCCUUUCUUUGUGAAUGGUGCCUACGUUGGAUUGUUCAUCCAAAGCAGACACCUGAGUCAUUCUAGGCUCCUUUGUGUCACCCACCUCCAUGAUUCUGCAAAUCACUAAAUAUAGUUUGUUUGACCUUUUUACCCGUGAUUUCCUUUUUAGUGUAGGUAAUUCCUCAUCAGCCUUCAAAUUCAGCUCAAAUAUGACCUCUUAAGGGAAAGCAUUGUGUGACUCUCCGUUUUGUAGUCUGAUUAAGGUGCUCCUUUUCUUUGCUCCCCACAACACCUUGUGGAUAUUUUAGGAAACACUUACAGCGUUUCUUGCAAACGUUAAUUUAGCUUCCUCCACUAGACUCUUAAGCUCCUGUGGGCAGAGAUUGGGUCUUAUUUGGUUUUAUAUCCCUAACGGUUGGCAUAGUGCCUCACAAAUAACAGGCUUUUAAUGUUUAUUGAAGGAACCAAAGAAAGUAGGUUUCUGUGAGUUCACCUUGGAUCAUAACCAUGAUAUAGAACUUAUUUUUAUGGGGAAAAUAUGUUCUUACCUUCCCAAUAACUCAGUUAUAAGCUUUAGAGUAUUAGCAGAUGUCAUUCUAAAAGUUCCUUUCUUUAGAAUCUAAAUUAUUUAAAAAAUUAAAUUUUUUAAAUAAAAAUUAUUUAAUUUUGUGUGCAGGUAAAUUAUUUGUCUCUGCCCUCAGCAACAUCCCCGGCGCAGGAUUUAAAAAAAUCUUCACGUUGUUUUAUUUUGUUUCACUUUUUUCUUGCCCAUUUCUGAUACAAAAAUGGGACAAAGAGCUUUCUGAUGAAUAGUUAUUAUUAGCUCCAUUUACUAGAGAUGGUUCAUAGGCCCAAGAAAGUCUUUUUGCAUGUAGUAAACACAUAGUAACCAAAUUAGGUAUGUGAGCCAAAGGUUAAGAGCCAAAGUAAAACUUCCAGACCUUAACAUUAAUUGAAAAAAUUCUGUCCUUCGAACUCCAUAGCUCAAGAUAAAUGUGAUUCUUAGAGGUUGAUGUAUAUAUAAUUUUUUGAAGACAUAGUCUUGCUCUGUCACCCAGGCUGGAGUACAGUGGCAUGAUCUUGGCUCAUUGCAACCUCAGCCUCUGAGGUUCAAACGAUUCUCCUGCCUCAGCCUCUGAGUAGCCAGGACUACAGGUGCAUGCCACCACACUAGGCUAAUUUUUUUUAUUUUUUAUUUUUAGUAGAGAUGGGGUUUCCCAUAUUGGCCAGGCUGAUCUUGAACUCCUGACCUCAAGUGAUCCACCUGCUUCAGCCUCCCAAAGUGCCGGGAUUACAGGUACGAGCCACCGCACCUGGCCAGAUGUGUAGUUCUUGGUGCUAACUAUGAGCAUCUUUAGGGCAUGAAGUAGAUCUUCACUUCUGUAUUGCCAGCAUUUAGUACAAUAAGUGUUUGGUGAAAGAUGAACCAAUAAGUGAAUGAUUGUAUUUCCUUUUCAGCUUUCAUGAGAAAUUAUGUGAUGAUCAGACUGUUUGGUUUGAUAACCUUUUAUUGUAAAGAUAGUUUUUGUUUAUUAUAGAGCAGAACUGGUUGAUGGGCUUGAAAUUUAAAAUUUUUCUUUAAUCAGCAUAUCUAGAAACAAUCAGUGGAGUAUUCCUUUUGGGUUGCUAUUUUGAAACAAGAAAUGUAUGGAAAUAAGGGACCAACAUUAUGUGCUUUCUACUGGUUGUGUCCUGAAAGAAUUGGAAUUUGCUGUGGAGCAAAAGCUAAAGAUUAAGCAAUACUUUUUUUCUUUUUAAAGUAAUACCAGAAUAAUUGCUAGAAUUAUUAGUAGUAGUAUUACUGUUAUUCAUUAUUAAAUUUCUCAUUUUCUUUCAAUCUCUUCAUCAGGAAUGACUUGUGUAGAGUAAGGGAGUUUGGGAGGGAAGAAAGCUAAUUCAUAAAUUCAUUUUUCUUAUUUAAUAUACUGUUUGUUUUGGGCCGGGCACAGUGGCUCACGCCUGUAAUCCCAGCACUUUGGGAGGCAGAGGUGGGUGGAUCACAAGGUCAGGAGAUCGAGACCAUCCUGGCUAACACGGUGAAACCCUGUCUCUACUAAAAAUACAAAAAAUUAGCCAGGCGUGAUGGUAGGCGCCUGUAAUCCCAGCUUCUUAUGAGGCUGAGGCAGGAGAAUCACAUGAACCUGGGAGGCGGAGCUUGCAGUGAGCCGAGAUUGCGCCACUGCACUCCAGCCUGGGCGACAGAGUGAGACUCCGUCUGACAAAAAAAAAAAGAAAAAAAAACCACUUUGUUUUGGUGGUAACUUCAUUUAUUUCAUACAUUGCCAUUGUAAUACACAUUAAGUGUGGGGAACAAUAAACCAAGAGCUGUUUCUCUGUUGUGAUACUUCUUGUUGCCAAAUUUGUGGGCUUCCACAGUUCAGGAAAUCUUCCUACACAACUGCUUUGAAAAUUACAAAAUGUUAAUUACUAUUCUACUGUUUUUAAAGGAAAGCAGAAAACACUGCAUCUGAGAGUGUAUUAAAAGAAACUAGGAGGGCUAUUGGUUUCAAUUUCUAAUAGCCUUAUAGUGUGUCUUGGGCAUCCUUCUGUGCCGUGAGCAGGGGUCAAACUCUGAAGACUUAAGCCCUGAAGCACUUUGCCGGUAUAAACAGAUUUCUCACUGGGGCAGAUUAUUUACCUGGAGCUGUAUGGCGCAGGAUCAGCUAGAACCUUACACCUUUUAUAUCUUACUUUGCCAAAGGUAUCAUUCACUUAGUAAGAGAAAUGUUAACUUUUUCCAUGGUUAGUAGAGAUAGAACCAGAGCAGAUGACACAGUGAAGCCACUGGAGCCUUUAAGGCCCUUAUUCUUUCCAUUGAUUCAUUCAGUGAAUGUAGGUUGGGUGCAAUACCAUAUGCUUGGAUAUAGUCAAAGCUAUGCCAGAUUGAUUGAUGGAUUGCCUUUAGGAAACUUGCAGUGUAAUGAAGCCACAGUAAUGUAGAAGAGGGAAUGACUCAUGGAUGGGGGAGUAAGCAGAAAGGAUUAAAGUCUUCUGCACUUUGCAUUUAAGAGGUCAUUAGAACCCAAAGCAAGGGUAGAUUUAGUGCCUAAUGAUGUCACAGUACAUAUUACGAGAGGUUGGAAAUUUGGGGAAAUGGAGAUGAUAGCAAGUAUAAAGGGUUUUUUUUUCUAGCAACCUGGCUAUUAAGGGAUAAAUAAAGUGUUGUAGCUAGAGGUGAAUGAGGUUAAAGGAGGGAUUGUUUAAAAUAUAAGACUUAGGCCAGGAGUGGUGGCUCACACUUGUAAUCCCAGGCUUUGGGAGGCCAAGGCAGGAGGAUUGCUUGAGGCUAGGAGUUUGAGACCAGCUUGGGAAACAUAUUGAUGCCCUGUCUCUAUUAAAAAUCAAACAAAACAAAACAAAAAAGUAAUUAGCCAGGCAUGGUGGCACAGCUUCUGGGGAGGCUAAGGCAAGAGGAUUUGUUGAACCCAGGAGUUCGAGGCUGUAGUGAGCUAUGAUUAUACCACUGCACUCCAGCCUGGGUGACAGAGUGACACCUUGAAAAUCAAUCGGCCAAUCAAAAUAUAAAUAAACUAUACUUCCCUCCCUCCCUCCCCCUCUCCCUCCCGCCAUCCCUCCUUCCCUAUCUCCAGCAGGGUUUUAGGCUGAGGGGAAGUGGUGAGUGGGAAGUAAAUGAGACUGAAGAUAAGGAAGUCCAGGUUAUGAUAGUAGGAGACAGAGAGGAUGUGGAACACAGGAGAAUGGACGGUCUGUGUAGGUGGACUGUUCCUCUCAAAAGUGGGGAGAGUUUAAAGGAGAAGGAUAAUGCUGUUUAUGGGGGUUGGGUAGGAAGUUGGUAGCAGGGCUGUGGCUUCCGUUUUCUCUGUGAAUUUGGAAGCAAGAUCAUCUGAGGGAGAUGCACACACGCAGAGGCUUGGUGCUUGAGUAGAGAGUUGGAAGUUUGAGAGAACUUCUGGACCGUGUGAUACGGCUCCGGGCCCCAUGCAGCUACAAGAGAAAAUUGGACAUCAGAUAUGUUGAGGAAACACUCCCCAGAAUUUGUUUCAUGAUUUCCUCCAUCAGAGCUUAGCAGCCUAGUGUUAUAAAACUAAAAAUAGCUAACAUUUAUUGAGUGCUUACUUUGUGCCAGGCACCUUACUGUGUAGUAACACGGUCCUCAAAACAGUGUGAAAUAGCUCCUAUCAUUACCUAUUUUUACCAUACCCAUUUUGCAGAUGUGGCUGAGAAAGGUUAAAUCUGGGUGACAGGAUGAGACUCUGUCUUUGAAAACAACAAAAAUACGUAAUGUUAGUUCCAGGUUAAUUUAUUUCUAUAAGGACACACACGUAGUAUAGCCAUAUCAGCAAAAUGAAAUUUGCUUUCAUUCAAAAGCCUUUAUUGAGGAAGUAUAUCUAAUCAAAUGAAGUUGUUCAUCUGCUCUUUAGAAUGAAAUUGUAUGGAGUUAAAUGAGAAAAAUCUUCACUUGGUGCCUAAAACAUAGUAAGUGCAUGGAGAAUAUUGGUUCCCUUGCUUUCCUCUCCACUUUGCUCUGAAUGAGCAGCUAGACUGAGGUGGCAGUAGUCUCAAGGCACAUAACUCUUGCUUUACCAACUUAUAAUUGCUCAGGAUGAAAAUAGCAACAACAUGGUACUUCCAUGCUUGGUCUUCACAUGGCCAGUGACAAGCUCCUCCAAGUCUGUUCUGAGUGUCCUUGUGGCUGAUCUGUGGACUAUACACCCUUGUCUCCAGGAUGUGUUAACAAACACUCUCUUCCCUCCACUUCUGUACGCCAUCAUCCCUGCUCUCCAGAUGCCAGGUGUCCCAGGCUGCCUUUUCUCUCUUCUGGAUGUGGGCUGCCCUCCGGGAGCCUCCUUACUUUGUCACCCAGGCACUUUCAGGUUUGUUUUCUGCUCCAGCAGCCACUGGGCUGAACCCUUCACUUCCAGGGAGCCUGUUUUGCUUCACAGACUCCAGAGGAAGUAGUUCCGCCUCGAGCUCCCAGAAACAGCGUUCUCAGUGAAGCAGUUUUUCAUUUAUUGUUGUUUUGGCCCCUACAUCCCACAGUGCUGACCUCUGACCCAGGGGUUGGAGUUGUCCACUUGAAAUUUCCUUCUUCUAUUUCUCCAUUUUCUUUUGACCAAGUCUGUAAGCAUUUACUUCUUCCCAUUACUUUCUCCAGAAGAUCUUGGCUUCUUCCACAGGAAGGUCACUGGAGAGCAGGCCUACUAGAAUGCUAAACAGGCCUAGAUACUCCUGCAUCCUUGGGAAUGCACACCUAGGCUCUGAAAAUACCUCUGUAUGGUAUUGAAUCUACUUCUGGGGUUGAAACGGGCCUUAAAGAUACUUGGGUAGUUAAAGAAAAUGAUUUGCUCAUCUAAUCAAGUGAUGUUUGAAUCUGUCUGCUGGUGGAGUGAGGACUGUGGAGGAAGCAUCGACAAAUAUUUAUUGAGUAGAUACUGAAUGUGAGACGAUAGGCUGGGUCCUUUUCAAAGAGGUUUUUAUUUUUUCUUUCUUCCAGUAGUCUUUCAACAUAAGUUUGCUAUCCUCAUUUCACAGAUGGGAAAACUGAAGGUCAAAUAAAUUAAAGUGACUUGGUUCAUUGCACUAAGUAGCAGAGCCAGGAUUUUAAAUUACGUAGCCACAAACCCCAUACCUUUUGUACCAUAUCAAAAAAAAAGGGAGUUAGAUUCAUUAUCUAACAGGAAGUCCAUCUAUCCUACACGUAGAAGGACAAAGUGAUAUUGAAAGUAGGGGGCUGUGGGGCUGUUUUUUCCCCUCAAGGAAUUUUUUUUUUUUUUUUUUUGAGACAGAGUCUUACUCUGUCACCCAGGCUGGAGUGCAGUGGCGUGAUCUUGGCUCACUGCAACCUCUGCCCCCUGAAUUCAAGGGAUUCUCCUGUCUCAGCCUCCUGAGUAGCUGGGAUUACAGGUGCCUGCCACCAUGCCUGGCUAAUUUUUAGAUUUUUAGUAGAGACAGGGUUUCACCAUCUUGGCCAGGCUGGUCUUGAACUCCUGACCUCAUGAUCCACCUGCCUCGACCUCCCAAAGUACUGAGAUUACAGGCGUGAGCCACCGCGCCCAGCCAAGGAAUAUUUUAUGAGUAAUAACUUCUCUAGACUAUCAUUUCAACCUGGAGCCAGCCAUCUGAACAAACCUUCCUCCAUGUCUUUUAGGGUGGUAAGCUGGGGCAUGAUGUUUAAGACUUCUUGGCUUUUUGGCAGGGCUCUGGAGGGGAAGUGAGUGAGCCACUGGGAUGUCACUAUGGUAACAUGGACAGGGUUUUCUGGUUCUGUCUCCCUCCCUGUGGCCUUUUUCCCAUGUCCCCCCAACUCCUGGACUUCCACAGCUGGGCCAGACAUUUCCCUUCUUAGACAAAUAGACUCGCUUCAUCCCCUCCAUAGCUGCAGAGGAGAAAUCCUUGGUUUGGGUCCCAGUUAUUCUUGUGCUUUAUGCAGACAGAAACAUUAGUACAGUAUGUACAGAAUUAGCAGUAUAGUAAUAAGUCAUUUUAACCAACAGAUGUAAAACAUGCUUCAGCAUACGUUUGUAAUACUAGGCCUGAUUACAGAAUGGGAGUGGUCUGUAUAAGUGAGCUGUGGUAGAAAAUACAACCCUUCAGAAUAAGUUAAAUGUAAUUAACUUCACUUUACCAGAGUCAUUUUUGUUCCCACAGUUACCUGAGUACUAAUUUCUAAACUUGAUGUGUCAAGAAUGUGGCAGAAUGGUGUCAACUUAAUGACCGAGAAAUGUGAUCUGUUUUGAAAGAGAAUGGAAUAUUAUAGUCUAUAGUACACAAGAAUGGAAUAUUAUAGUUUGUAGUAUACAAGAAUGGAAUAUUAUAGUUUAUAGUAUAUUUUCUUUGAGUAACAUUUCUGUGAACAUUGAAAUUGUCUGGGAAAGAAGAUUCUGUUAUUUUCUUCUGAGACUUAAGAGAGUAUCACAUUAAAGUGGCAAAUUUGUGUUUAUGCCAAAUGUUACUGUGAUGUUUUCUUCUAUAGAAUCAAUCCCAGUAAGGUAAGUUAAAAAAAUGGAAUUUCUUUUUCUAUAGCUGUGGAUGCAAAAGAGCGGAGAGAUUAAAUGAACUUGCUUAUACCUAUAGAAGUAAAUGGUUGAUUCAGAUAAAGAACGUAGAGAAUCAUAAAUUUCUUAGGACAUGAGUUAAAGGUAGACAGAGGAAUCUUUGGGUGACAUUGUAGACAGAGGGAUGACCUUUGCAUAUGAGCCAGUUUUGUGUCUUGUAGGUGUUGCUUUCAAGGGUGCUCCUUAGAAUAGUGAUCUCAAUUUUGAAAGGGAUGAGGAUUUGAUGUUAAUUUAAUAUUCUGUCUACUUGGCAUAUUUUGGGGUUUUGUCUGAUGUAGCAGAAAAGUUCCCACCCAGAAUAAUUUUUAAAACAUGGUGACAUUGGACUAGGGCAGUGAACACACUGCUCAUCUCAAUAAUGCUUCCAGCUUUUGAAUUCAUUAAAAUAAUAAAAGCUUUUUUUAUCUGCCUCAUUAUUUUUAAUGCAAUUCCAUCAUAGAGCAGACUUAAUCCCUUUGUUGGUGAAGGUAGUUAAAGUUUUCCUUUUGAAAGGAAAAAAAAUGAUCACUUCUUCUGGUUAAUCUGAUACCUUUCUCUUUAGGGUAUUUUGAAAGAUAUUAGUAAAGACAAAACUAAAACUAAAAUUGAGGAUCAGUCACAGCAGAGUGAGAAACGUGGCAUGGCAUUGCGGUAGAUGGAGCAGAGGCCCAGUGUUGGGGACAGGAAUCCUAAAUUCUAAGUCCAGCCCUGCUCUUCAUUAGCUAGGUGUCUCAGACAAGAAGUCACUCAACAUUUCUGCAUCUCAGUUUCUUCAUAGAGAAAAGAAGGGUUUUGAUAUAGAUCUCCAUGGUUCUUUUUAGUGCUCAUUUUUAAUCAUUUAAUUGAAAUGCAACAAGAGGGAUUUUAAAAAUCAGGCCUUGCAUAUUUUUCAUCUCUACUGACCCCACAUCCUCCUCCAGCUACUGUCACAUUUCUAGAUUUUUCUUUUGAGAAAUGAUUCUCAAAUGAGGCGUCUACUCCUUGUCUCUAACUGCAUUGCCAAACACAGUUUUCUGACAUCAGCUGCAUUUGUCCUGGGACCCGCCCUGAGUUGUAGAGUUUUCCUGCCACUCACCUGAGAACACCAGGCUAAGCCUUCAAGUGCCCUAGGCUAGUUAAGUGCUGCAGGAACUCGGCCCUGGUGUCCUCUGAUGGCACAGUUGCAACAGAUGCAUUGUCUCCUUGCUUAUUAACAAGUAAAGGGCUGAUCCCUGGAAAAUGUUGGGGAGAGGGUUAGGAUGGCAGUUGUGCUUUUCACUCCAGAAGUCACUUAGUCAUCUUUUCCUGGAGAUGGCCUGUGUACCUUGCCUAGUACAGUGCUUGUUGAACAGCAGGCAUGUAUGCCUAAGAGAUUUUUCUCCAUCUUUUCUUCCUCCCUCCAUGUUCCUCUAUUCUUUGCCUCCAAAUCAUAGUGUUAUGUGAUCUUUGGGGUGUCGCUUUUCUGGCCAGAAACCCCUGUGGCUGGUGGCACCUUUGCCCGAGUUUUUGUCCUGUGUCCAGGAAGAAUGAGGUACUCAGAGAAGUGGAAGCUGAACAAGAUGAACAGGAGCUUUAUUGAGAGUUAGGGCAGCUCAGAGGAAGCCCACAGUGGGUAGUUCCUCUCUGUAGGCAGGUCAUCCAGUGGAGUGUUGAGCUCUCAGCAGACAGGAGGCCCUGGAGAUGGUGGCUCCUCUCCACAAGCAGGUCGUUCAGACAUCUCUGCAGGUCUCUGAAGCUCUCAGCAGAGAAGGUAGCUCUUCUCUGUAGCUGGUUCGCCCAUUGUCUCUAGGUGCCCUGCUCUGGCUGAACCUGAGGCUUUUAUGGACCUCAGAGGGAAGGAAGUUCCUUCCUAUUGGCCCGUGGUCCUCGGGCACCCAGAGGAGGCACCACAAGUCCCCACUCCGGUCCUGGACUGGCAGCCUGGCCCCCAGCCUUCAGGCCCUCCCUGGUCUGAAGGAGGGGCCUUACAGGGACUUCCCCCUUCCACGCAGGAAUCUGUCUGCCUUCUGCUGCCCCGGGCUCGGCCCCAACCCCAGUCGGAGAUUAAAGCAGGCACUUGGAGAGGAGAGUGGCCAGGCAGCUGGAGCAGACACCCCCGAGCCUGCAGGGAUGAAGCGGGUGGGGAGCGGGGCGGGUCUUCCCGGGCCCUCCAGGGUGCAGGCUGAAGAGAUGCCUGGUCUGGACCUGGGGAGUUCACGCUUCACCAACUCAGAAAAGGCAGGGCUCCCGCUUGUCCCUGGCUCCUACCUACUAGAUGGAGCGUGAAGCCCAGGUCUGCAGCCGCAGCAGAGAGGCUGCUGCUCUACCCGGGAGGGCAGAUCCUGUCUGCUCCCGCCCCCCACCAAGAGCACAGGGAAGCUCGAAUCUCCAGCCGCAGUUUGGGCAGCUGUAGCCCCACCCAGGAAGGCAGGGCUCCUGCCUGCUCCAUAGAGCAGGAAGCCUGGUCUGCAGCCACGGUUUGAGUGGCUGCAGUGGCACCCACGGAGCCCCUGCCCCAACUCAGAAUGGGUGAGGCUCCCACCGCCUCCAUGGAGUGUGCAGCCCUAGCCGGCCUCCCUGUUGCAGCAGCAGCUGCCAUCAAUAGAUGGAAUUAUAACCACCGAGCACGUCCUGAUUUACAUGACUUUCAACAUGUUAUAAAGGCAUAUUCUUCAUGGAGGCUGUUUUCUAGCUUCUUUCCCUGUCUCACAUAAAAUGAGGGCUGCUCCCCUGGCUGUACCUGUGGCUCCUGACAUGAAUCCCCAGAGGUAUGGCCUUUCUCCGGCAAUAAGUCAUCGAAGCUGCUGCUGUUCCUGAAGGCGAGCCUUUGCUUGGACUGGGAAAUUAUUAAGAGAGCAAAAUCCCCUCCGUUCCCCUAGGGUUUGCCGAGGCGGCGUUUGUUUACAGUGAAAAAAUGUGCCAUGCAGCCUCAGUUUUAACCUGACCAGCGAACGUAUGGACUCGGAUGGACGCAAAAUGGUGUAUUGUAAAUACUCCGGGUGCUUCCACCACCAACGCAAGAAGUGAGGGGGAAUCUAUUCUCGAACAGAUUGUCCUCUGCCGAACACUAUCACGCCUGCCUGCCGAUUAACAAGAAAACGGCCUGUCUCUAACUCCAGAAGCCACACAGCACCGUCUGCAGGCCCCGUGUCAGUUUGCUGCAGUGAUAAGACGGGCGACACCAUCAGCCUUCACCAAGGGAGGAACAGUUUGGAGAGUUGUUGAAAUUUUCAGCUGCUGCUUUCUUCUCUUCUGCCAUCCUUCCCCUUCCUCCUCUCAGAAUUGGUGCUGUUGGGCCAAUUCUAGGUGAAUUAGAGUAUGUGGCUCUGGCUAGCAUGGUGUGUAGGCCCCAUUAUUUAGAUUCUUGGGCAGUUUGCCUCCUUUCUAUUCUCUGCUUCCCAGACUGGUUCUCCAUACUCCGCUUCACUUCUAGUUUAUUCUGUCUUCCUCAAAACUCACCCCCAAGACGGUCUUCUGUUAGUUAUGCCUUACCCUGCACUGGGUCUGCAUACCCUCCAUUCUAAGAAAGCUAUUGGUGUUUACUGUCUCUUCUUUAACUGCUGAAGGAAGGAUGGGUGUUGGCACUUGGCGGAGAAGGAGGUUUGUUUGGACAGAGGUCUCUUUCCCUAACCCUUGCCACUAACUCACGUGUGCAGUUACCUGCUCUACUGAGGUCAGGCCAUAAGCAUUUCUUCUUUUUGGUCUAUUUACAGUUCUGUAGCUUGAUUCUUUGAUACACAAAUGUCCCAGGUUGCUGGAAAUCCCUAGAAAUUUUAGUUUUAGGGAAAGGUCAAAGUGCAAGGUAACAUAACCUGUUUUAUUACCUGGAUUCUUCUAAAAAGUUCACGUUUAUUCACUUCCCUGUUCUUCCUGCAUGGUGCACCUUUAGGCUGGUGUAUUUUCCUUAUCAGAGAACAUGGCCUGCUUUCUUGUCUUGCCCUUUAUCUAUUUCUCCCAGAUAGGUACGCUCCUUGAGGGCAGGGAUGCCCUCUACCUUCUUGCGGUUGUAUCCUCAACAAUUGGCACUUUGAUCAGCCUGUAAAUACUCAAUAACUAUAUUAGAAAAUAAUGACUGAGCCUGCUUUAAGAGUGAUUUAAAAGCAUUAGGGUUGAAUAUGAGUUUUGAAGUCAGAUAGACCUGGAAUAAAAUUCCUUCCUCUACUCCUUAAUAUCGGUGAGACUCUGACCUUUCUAAGUCUCACUUCCUCAUUUGUAUCAGAUUCGAUCUUGGAUUGUCACUAAUUCAAUAAUAACUACUAGCAUAUACGACCACUUAGUUUGUGCCAGACGUUGUGCUUAGCAGUCUACAUGGAAGGUUUCAUUUAACCUCCGUGAUGUCUGUGAGAUGAAUGCCGUUUGUUUUUAUUAGCUGCUUUUCUCAGGUCGGAAAGUCAAUUUAAGUGGCUUACGCUACUUACUGAAUGUUACACAGCUAGAAAGUAGGCUGAGUUCACACUUGGUCACCUGAUUCCCAAGCCUGUGCUCUUAAGAUCUCAGGUUCAUUGAAGGCAGCAACAUUUGGUGAGUAUAUAGCAGUUAAUCAAUAAUCAUAACAAGUAAAAUAUAAGAACAGCACUUUAAAACUUCUCUUUAAUCCGGUGAAGCUCAGAUGCCUAUAUUGCCUUUUAAUUGUCUAAGCACUUGCACAAAAUUAUCUAAUAUGAUCCCAACAAUUCAGUAUUAUUAGCCAAAUUUAAUAUGUAAUAAUUGUGAGAAUAAAAGCUGCUAUUUAUUGAGCUAUUCACUGCUGACACUACAUACGUUAUAACUAAUAUUCCUGACAGCCUUUUGAGUUAGAUGUUAUAUUGCUUUCAUUUUGCAAAUAAGAACCAGAAGCUCAGAGAAGUUUCUGAACUUGGUCAAGGUCACAUUGUAGCUCAGAUUAAAAUUUGGAUCUGAGCCAGGCAUGUGUAGUCUCAGUAACUCAGGAGGCUAAAGCAGAAGGAUCCCGUGAGCCCAGGAGGUCAAGGCUAUAGUUUACUGUCAUUGAGUCUGUGAAUAGCCACUGUAGUCAGCCUGAGCAACGUAGUGAGACCUUGUCUAAAGAAAGAAGAAUGAAGAAUUCAGAUUUUCAAGCCUGUGUUCUUUCCACUGUACACAGCUAUCAGGAUGCUUUUGUGAGGCAGUGGGGAAGUUGACUUUCUGGAAGUUUUUUGCUGUCCAGAUCCGGGAAACCUGAUUCAUGCUUCCCGAAUGAGCUCUGUUACAUACAUUGCAGAGUAAAUUCUGUGUCCCUAGUCUUCCGUGAAGUGGGAACAUGGUGCCUGUGUCCAAGUGUUCUAUCUCUUUCCAUUAAAGUCAGCAGUUUUCCAAAGGUCUUGUUUAUGAAGGUUAUUAGUUAUGCAAAAUGGGCCUUUAUGGAUAGUUCUAUGAAAUGAUUCCAAUUAGAAAGAAGUGGGUAGAUUGCCAGUCGGUGUCAGCUAAUUAAAUUAUGAUAUGCUUCUGUCAUUAACAAGGACUCUGACUGGAGGAAAAACAAAAAGAUAAAAGCAAGUUUCUGAAAUUUGUUGACAGGGAGGGUAUAUUACUUUGCCCAUUCUCAUACAAUUAGAAGAAUAAAACAGGAGCUUCCCAUUUUGUAUUUGAAAUAGGGAAAUCUGUUAUUACUUUCUUCUAGGGUAUAAUUAAUCAAAUUCAGCUGCAGUAUUUUAGAUGCUAUGGUGAAAUGGAGUUUCAUUAAAAACUGUAGUUUAAUAAUAAUGGAUCAGUCAUACUGACAUUAUUGCAAACAUAAAAAUGAGCUUUGAAUACCAAAAACAUAUUCAAUACAUUUAAUUGAGAAGGGGCUGUGUUAGAAUUUUUAGGCUGGUUCCAUGUCAGAGUUUGCCGUGAAUAAGAGAAGACAUUGGUACCCAGGCUUGCCCUGAAGAGUGCCAGGGACAUGGCGGUAGCAGCAUCCCGAUCUUUAGUAAUCGUCUGGCGGGUGUAUCCGUCAGCUCUUGUCAGCUCGACAGGGAGGCUGUCCAUCCAGGCGAGGAGAGCCUUGCCGGGCUGCAGUAAGUAGCUUAUAAGUACAGUCAGGGAAUGGAGAAGAAAAUCUCCAGCUUUUCCUCCAGCUAAAGUUAUCAAUCUUUACAGGCACUUCUAGAAGCUGUUUGUUAACCAUGCUGCUGUUCUGUGAGGAAACGAGUGCCUGGCUGGAAAGCACAAGGCUUUGGGAAAGUUACUUUUUCUGCAUUAAAUCAGAUGUUCAAUAUCUUGAUCCUGUGCCAUUCUGUGGGGUGAUGUAGUGGAGCAUUCUUCUAGACAUAUAGGUAAAUGGUGUUGACCUAACAGAUGGGAGGAUCCAGAAGCAUAGAGGCUUGGAGAAUGUCUUAUGGGGUCCCAAAGCAUGAAUAAGCAGAAUCUAGAAUUUAGACUUUACGAAUUGGACAUUUAUGAUGAUUCACAUAGUGCUGCUUUGAUUGAUUGAUUGAUUGAUUUGAGAUAGGGUCUCGCUCUGUUGCCCAGGCUGAAAUGCAGUGGCACAACAUGGAUCACUGCAGCCUUGACCUCAUGGGCUCAAGUGAUCCUCCCACCUCAGCCUCCCAAGUAGCUGGGACCAUAGCCACAUGCCUCUACACCUGGCUGAUUUUUUGUAUUUUUAGUAGAGAUGGGAUUUUGCCACAUUGCCCAGGCUGGUCUUGAACAAGCUAUCCACCUUCCUGGGCCUCCCACAAUGCUGGGAUUACAGGUGUGAAAAGCAUGCCUAUCCUGCUUUGACUUUGUUUCUUUCAAAAUGUGUUAUGGCAAGAACUGACUCAGAAUCCUAUUGUAUACCUAAGACUGCAAGGACACUGUUUAAACUUACAAAGAAAGGCACCUGUUUUGAAGCCUUUGGGAAGAUGUAUUUCAUGCAGUAAUGCAUGAUUCACUAAGAGUCCCUAUCCUUUAAGCAGGUCCCAAGACCCUCUACACUGUUAGUCUAAUUGGAGGAUGCAUGUGUGUGUGUGUGUGUGUGUGUGUGUGUGUGUGUAUUAAAUAUACUACAACUGUAUUUCCAUUAAAAAGGAUAAUGUAAUCCAGGUUAGCUUUUUUGCCUGUUAAUUCACAUUAGUGAGAUUUUGUUGGCCAUUGUGGUGGCAAUUAUUUCUUACCAUUCCAUGUGGGUCUUACACAAUUGAGAGGCUGGUUGCACAGCCAGACUUGCACAGAACUUCCUACCCUCGUGUUUUUCUCCAUGAAGAAGCUGCCAAAGGUUGGAACUAAGAUUACCAAGCCCUUCUUACUUGUCUUCACACUAAACAUUCUUCAUGAUGUUCUGGCCAAUUUGUGUUUGUAGGUGUCCAGAAAAGAGCAAUAUACUUACGAGAACUCUCUACUGAAAGUACAGCAGUCCCCCCCCAUCUGAGGUUUCAUUUUCUGUGUUUUUAGUUACCUUUGGUCAAGUACAGUAUAAAAAUAUUAAAUAGAAAAUUCUAGAAAUAAACAGUUCAUAGUUUUACAGUCGUGCACUGUUCUGAGAAGCAUGAUGGAAUCCCGUGUCCCCCGGGAUGUGAAUCAUUCCUUCAUCAAGCUUAUCCAUGAGUAUGCACGACCUACCCAUUAGUCACCUAGCAGUCACCCUCAGUUAUCAGAUGGAGUAUUGCGGUCUCACAGUGCUUGUGUUCAAGUGACCCUUAUUUGACUUAAUAAUGGUCCCAAAGUGCAAGACUAGCGCUGUCAAUUUGGAUAUGCCAAAAAGGAGCUGUAAAGUGCUUCAUUCAGUGAAAAGGUGAAAGUUCCCGACUUAAUAAGGAGCGAAAAAAAACAUACGCUGAGGUUGCUAAGAUCUACAGGAAGAAUCGAUCUGUGAGAUUGGGAAUAGUAUAUUAUUAUAAUUGUUUUAUUAGUGGUUAUUUUUGUUAAUCUCUGUGCCUAAUUUAUAAAUUAAGCUUUAUCAUAGGUAUGUAUAUAUAAGAAAAAGCAUAGAGUAUAGAGGGUACAGUACUAUCUGUGGUUUCAGGCACCCACUGAGGGUCUUGAAACGUAUCCCCUAAGGAUAAGGGGGACUACUGAAUCAAGAAGAGAGCUAUCCUUCUGGUGCUAAAGGAAAGAAAAAAGAAUGUGGUAUACUUAGGUUCGAGGCUAGUGAUGCCUGGUUGUUAGUGACUUGUCUUCUGAGCAAGUUCUUUUUGCUUAAAGGUAAUUUCUUAAAUGCGAGAGUAAGGAAGAGGAAAACUUUGAAAAAGAGAAUGCACCUAAGCAUAAUUUUUCUUCUUUAUAGGAAACUUAACUUUGUUUCAAAAUAAGUCUUUCAUUGCCUCCAGCUCGACUCUGCUUCUGCUGAACAUAGAACUCAAUCACCAGGGUUUAAACAGGAGCUAGUGUUGUAUUCCAGGAGAUGUAUUGACUAAAUGGAAAUCUUGAAUGUUUUUACAUUGGUUUAUGAAUUCUAGACUGUUUAAUAAAUUUAAAUGAAGAUUUUUAAAAAAAAUGUGUUUACGUUGGCAUGUUAGUCAUUUACUUCAGAAUUCUGAGUACAUUCGGGGGGUUGUGGUUCUGUAAAGGACUUACUACAGUUUCCAGCCCACUGUACAUGUUUAAUAGACAUUAUGCUGCUGUUACUUUUGUUAGCUACCAUAACUGUGAAGGAGAGAAUUGAGGACAGUAAAAUGAAAGUAAGUAAUCAUAGGAAUGCACCACUCAGUCAAGGUGUGCUUAAGACAUUAAAAUUCCUUUGAAUAUCCGUACAAAUGGUAAAAUUUGAGAAAUAAUUGUUUGUCUUUGUUUUACCAUUAGGCUUUUUGGUAGCUGUCCUGUCGCCCUGUUCAACAUUUGCUCCUAUCAUGUGGAAUUCAAAUCCUGCUAGAUCUUUUGCAGAGUUUCCAGUUCUGUUGUGUGUAUACAGUGACAGCUGAGUUCAGUAUGGGUUGCUAGAGAGAGUUGAUUUCCAAGCCAGAUACUUUUGGGUUCAAGCGACUGCUCCCUUAUGUAUUAGCUCCACGUGACCCUAAGACAUUUAGUGUCCUAUGAACCUUUCUGAGAAUUGUUCUGAGUUUUCCUGACAGAGUCACCAGCUUCAAGAAAAACACAGCAGUUGAACAGAUAGGUCACCUGAAUGAAGCCUGCCCACUUGGGUAGCCCCUGACAAUACCUCUAUUGUCAUAAGUUAUAUAAGACAGUAAGUGUUGAUCCUAAAGAUGGUCCUGAAUUACCAAGGAAGAUACACUCCACUCUGCAAGCCAGUGACCAUGAUGUGCAUUUAAAAUGCAUUUUCUUCCAGCUGGGCUUGGUGGCUCAAUUCUAUGAUCCCAGCAAUUCAGGAGGCCGAGAGGGGAGGGUGGCUUAAGGCCAGGAGUUCAAGAGCAGCCUGGGCAACAUAGUGAGACUCCAUCUCUAACGGGGCAUGAUGGCAUGUGCUUGUAGUCCCUACUCCUUGGAGGUUGAGGCAGGAGGAUCACUUUAACACAAGAGUUUGAGGCUACAGUAAGCUGUGAUUGUGCCACUGCACCCCAGCCUGGGUGACAGAGUGAGACCCCUAUCUCCAAAAAAUAAUAAAUAAAUAAAUAGCAUUUCCUUCCAAAUGGGCAGGAUUAAGGAGGUUUGAUGCUUUGAAGUAUAACCUUUAACAGGAAAAUAAUCCACUGUGGAGGAGUUCAUUCCAUGAAGAUGGUGGAUGCGUGAAGCAUUACUGUUACCACUUCUCGGUUCUCUGUUGCACACUUGCAGUAACUGCUAGUGGUGCUAGUACUACUGGUACUAGUACUAACAAUAAAGCUAACAUUUGUUGAGCUUAUAUUGUUUGCUAGAAAAUGUAAGUCUUUUAUUUUUUCUUAGUCCCAAAGAAUACUUGUACAAGAUGAAUAUCAUUAAUAAUUUUCCAGAGGAGGAAACAGGCUUAGAGAAAAGUUUCUGGGCCAAAAUAACACGCAUCCAAAGCAGUGCAGCUGGGAUUUGAAGCGAAAGGUCCUGAUCCCCAGAACCCAUCAUGCUUUUACCUGUUUUACGAAGCGUUUCAGCAGAAACCUGGCACUUGUACCUCACUGGCCAUUACUGGCAAAUUUUGUAUAUAUGUGCAUUCUUCUCAUUUUGUAUAUAUGUGCAUUCUUCAUUCAUCCUUUUAAAAGAGAUCUUGGCUUUAGAUAAUAUUCUUAUGUAACUAAAGAAUGAUUUGUCCAUUCUUAUGUUUUGUCUUCGAUGAACCAAUACAUGAUGAAAAGAAUAUCUUAAUGAAAGGGAGAGCUACAUCAUUGCAGAGUGAAAUACAGGUAAUUCAUAUCUUUGCGAGGAUUGUCCGUGGCAUAUUAAAAAGCUUAGAUCAGCUACUCUUUACUCGCCAGCAGGAUUCUUUGCUGUCUUCUCAGAGUGUGAUGAAAUAUUCAAUUCUUUUAACAUUAGCUUGAACAAAACAAAACUGGAGAAAUAAGCCUGUCAUUAAGGCCUUCUAUAACCCACCAUUGUUAACCAUCUUGGAUUCUCUGUGUGAUAUUAGCACAUAUAAACAAUUUUUAAUUUAAAAUUCUAGAUGUGUAAUUAUAAAACCAGAAUUUAUCAUUUUUGUUAAAGAAAUGUGUUUCAAACUCAGCUUCUUGAAUGCUUAUGGCAUGCAGUUUGUUUUGCUGUGAAUUGACAAAGGGAAUUACUAGAAAAAGAGAAAAAGAGUGCAGAGUUUUCCAAAUUCCUUUUCUGGAAAAUAGGGAAUUGAUAGCUGAGAAAUGAAAGUGUGUUAUAAAGCCCUUAUAACACCCACUGGAAAAUAAUCAUUAAAUAUUAGACAAUAUGAUUGAAUUAGGAAUGUUUUAGGUAGAAUGAAGUCAACCAAGUUCUAACUGUUUUUCUGUGUGAUCUUGAGAAAAUCUAUGUAUUGAAAUACUCAUGUUAGCCUCCCAUUUUCAUUUGAUAUAUUUUAUAAACAUUUUUUGGUCCAUUGAGAAAGACCCUUUAUAACAGAAGGUUAAAAGGUUAAUUUUAGGUCUCUGGGCUAUGAACAAUUAAAAUUUUCCAGGAAGCUUAAUCAGACAUUAGUGUAACACCCAAUCAGUCCCCUGAACCUGCUGUGAGUUUCGCUAUUACUCCUUAUUGAUUAGACCAUAUUCUUUUUGCUACUAAUGAAUUAUUUAUGGAGGAUCCCUUGAGCGUAUUCAGGCAUUGUGAAGGAAGAAGAUAAAACCCCUUCCUCUGUAUAGCUCUGGCCAGGGGUUUGGUGGCUGCUGUGACUGAUUGUGAAGGCUGCAUCCCCUGGGUCCCUGUUGUCUUAACUGUCCCGCAGCUUUACAAAGUCUUGAGUUACUGAGAGAAGAUUCAAAAGGGAUUAGAUUGUGUCUAGCAAACUUGACAGACCUGAGCAUUUAGCAAAUACUUUCCACAUGAUUUGUCUGUAGAGAGCGGUACAAAGAAAUUUAGGUACUGUGCAAAGUAUUUAAACUUUUUUUAAAAAUAAAUUUUUGGCUGGGCACGGUGGCUCACGCCUGUAAUCCCAGCACUUUGGGAGGCCAAGGCGGGCGGAUCACGAGGUCAGGAGAUUGAGACCAUCCUGGCUAACACAGUGAAACCCUGUCUCUACUAAAAAUACAAAAAAUUAGCCGGGCGUGGUGGCAGGGCCUGUAGUCCUUGCUCCUCAGGAAGCUGAGGCAGGAGACUGGCGUGAACCCGGGAGGCGGAGCUUUGUAGUGAGCCGAGAUCGCGCGACUGCACUCCAGCCUGGGCGACAGGGUGAGACUCCGUCUCAAAAAAAAAAAAAUAAAAUAAAAUAAAUAAAUAAAUAAAUUUUUAAAAUACUUUAUAGGAAGAGGUGAACUGACCAAAAUGCAGUCAGGUUUUUUGUUUUUUGUUUUCAGUUUGGGCUUUAUUUUUUUUAAAUCCUAGAAGCUUAGUAUUAUGAAAACAGUUGUUUUAAUGCAAAUAUCUUUCAUAAGUAGUGAGCGAAUAUAUAUGAAGAGGGUGUAUUGUUCUCAUAGUGCAGCACUCGGGGCGGAGUGAGGAUGGGACAGAGGAAGACUGUGCACAACCUCGGUGCUGUGUGUAAAUUUAGUCCCUUGGCCGUAUGCACAGAAUGAGGAAAAUGAGUAAGACAUACAUAUUAUAUUUUUAUUCAUCUGGAUUUAAUUAUCUUAAGGACUAUCUUUUUAUAAUUAAGGUAUUUUACAUUUUUACCAGAAAUAAGAAAAAAAAAGUAUGUGUUUGUGUGUGUAAUGGGGGAUGACAUAUAAAGCCUAAAUGAAAUUUCUUCUAAAAUUCAGGGAAAUAAUCUCUGAGAGGAAUUUGGAGAUUUACUUUUUUAAAAAUGUGCUGCCAAAUACCAGAGAGCCAUUCCAAAACGCAGUAGUAGAUUAUCUACAAAAUGUAAUGGAAACGCCUUCUUAGAUGACUUUAAAAUGGAGAAAGAAGUCAGCUAAGCCUAUAACCCACUGCUUCCACCUAGGGACUUGCAGAGAAAUACCUGUGCAUUCUCAGAACUUGUUUCACUCUGUAGGUUGGAGGGAAAAAUCGAUCAUGAUCUAAGGCUGUGGUUGCUGAAUUGGGUUAUUAGUUGUGCACCAUCUACUUUUACCGUCUUUUGAUCUGGCCACUAUAUUUAGGCUGUUAUGGUAUCCAGUGGGGAGAAAAACAACUUAAACUUUUGCAAUUGGGAAACCAAGUGAUACUUUAAAAAACUUAAUGAACCUUGAAAAUUGCUACUCGCCAUGUGAGAGUAAAAAUGCCACAUCAGGUGGGUAGCAAAGAAAAUUGUCUUGAUACUUCCUGAAUUCUGACAGUAUUUCUUUGGCAAAUAAUCAUGUAUCUUUUACUGAGAGUCUGCUUUGUGCAGAUGUCCUUAUAUUGUCCUUAUAUGCACUUUGGGGAGAUAUAUAAAGGAGAAAUUAAUAUUAAGAGUAAAACAUGUGAUUCCCAUGGACUCAGGGGAGGAGAAAUGGCGAGUAGCUGCCAAUAGGGCCAGAGUUUCCGUAUUGAGUGAUGAAAUAUUCUGGAAUUACAUAGUGGUGAUGAGUGUACAGUUUUGCAAAUAUAUGAGAAACAACUGAAUUGUAUACUUUAGAAGCAUGAAUAUUACAGCACGUGACUUACAUAUCAAUUAAAAAAAACCCAAAUCCAAAAUUCCAGUAUGUGCAUUAUCAGAAAAACAACCACCUAGUGGCUUAGCCCGUAGUCCUUGGACCUGUUGUAAGACUUCUGUUUCUUAUCCUCUGCCUGCUGUUCCCUGAAUGAUCUUCCACAGUGACUUAUUUCAUAGAGGGAAAAACUUUCCGUGAACUCUCAUUGCUUUUAGUUAGGUCUGUGCAUACAGUUGGGCAGACCGUGCUCUGCAGAAGUCUAAGAAAUGUCUUUCUCAUCCUGCUUUUUCGGAUGAAUUCAGACUCAUUACCUGACAUUUAGGACUGUCUGCAUCUUAGUUCCAGCCUACCAUUCAUCAACUUCUUUCAUUUAUAUGCCCACUCAUUGACUUAUUCAUUCAUUCAUUUUAUUUGUAUGUUCAUUGGUUCCUAUGUUGGUUCAUUCAUUCAUUCACUCAUUCAUUCAUUUGACUGUAUUCCUUAUCUUGCCUACUGGUUGUUACUUUCUCCCUGCCCAGUCUGCAGAGCCCAUGCUGUACAUUGUCUCAGCCGUCUUCCCACCUUCUUCCUCUAACUCCUAGAUAUAUUCUCAAGGCCCUGCUUCUAUCCUGCAUUUUUUGUACCUUUCUUUUGCCAUUACAGAGUUUGUACUUUUUUUCUUUAAGUGCCCAGUACAUAACAAAAGAAGGUUCUAUCUCAGAUGGGGCAGCAUUAUUCACAACUGUCUCCGGGCUCCUCCAUGAGGUGUCUGCCUUUCUUUCAACUUUAAAAUCUGAACAUGAUGGACCUAUGCUUUUGGAAUUGGGGGUGGGUAGCCAACUAAAAAAUGGAGAGCUACUCUUUACCUGGAUAACUAAUUUUUAUGUUAUUGUAGGAUAAUAACCACAAAUCAAGGCAUGGCUACCUAUUUAUUAGAGCUGGCCUGAAAGCUUUAAAUUCUGCAGAAUGUGUUUUAUAUGCUAUUAACUCCAAUCUGUUGGUGCUAAUUUGAAAUGGUGGUUUGGGAACAUGUGCAAUUCCUGGUGUACUUGAAGAUUUCAGGACAUGAAUGACAAAAAGUACCAAUAACUCUCUGAUCUAACAUUGAGAAGUUAUCAGCAGACACUGCCAGAUUUGAGAAUACUCAUCUUUUCUCACAUUGUUUUCUUUCUUAUUUUGCAUAAGUGAAUAAAGGAUGAUUUUGGAAAGCCUUACACUUGAUAUACAUUAUAUAAUCCUAGAGGCCUUUAAAAAACAGGAGAGGAAACUUAGUUGAAUGCUUGAAAGGUAAUGGGCCAGAUUAGAGUUUGAACUAGAUGAUUCUUAGCAGUUCCUUCUACUUGUGUGAUGUUAUAUGCUUCUCUUUUCUUUAAAAUUUCAUUUUGGUUUGUAUAUGAAAAUAAUUUUAGCUGUAUAUUUCUACUCUGUUCAUAUAUAAUAUGUAUAUAUUAUGCAUAUAUAAUAUGUAUACAUUAUAUACAUACACGUGUGUGUGUGUGUGUCUGAGACAAUUGCCAGACUCAUUUCAAUUAUGAAGCUUUAAGGUGAUUGAUAUUGGGAUCACUUUUGCCUCUGCAUCUUAAGCAAAUUCACGUUCUUUGCCUAAUGACUUCUAUAUUUGCUAGCAUGGACUUACCUUGAGAUGACUCUGGAAUGUUACUGGAAGUGAUAGUUGUGUGGAAUAAUUUGACACAUGUCCCUAAGAUGGCUUACUUUUGCCCCUCUGUUAUUUUAGAGCAUACUUAAACUGUGCACGCUGGGAUAGCUUCCAAAAGCUUAAAUUUUAGGAUUUAAUUAGGUCAUACAAUAUUAAUUAAUAAAAAACUUUUUGAAUUGCUUUGGGUUCGCAGGUACUGUGUCUGAUGCUCCAUACAGAAGGAUGAAUGAGACCAAAGGUCCUACUCUAAACCAUUUACAGAGAAGUAGUGAGACCUAUUUAAAAAGAGUUGAAGCAAAAGCUUUCAGGUAGAUGACUGAAUCAUUGUAGCUCUUCAGCAUAUUAUAACAGAAAAAAGAGCCAGUUUUUGAAUUUUUAUGAGCAUGUUAUAGUUUUAAAUAAUGUGAUUUUCUUGAACUGUAAUAUUGAUAUAAUUCUAAGUCAGAGAAGCUGUUUUGCAUUUCCAGCUCUUACUGCCUACUUCAGCACUAACCAAGGUACCAAACAGCAGCCUCUUCAGCAUAUAUGCUAAGUUUUUUUUUUUAGCUUGACUGGGAACAUUUUCUUGGGGAUGUAAUUUUUAGGUUGGUGUGAUGUGCAAACAAACACCCUUUAAAAGUAGAUAUUAUUUAGCAUUUAAGUGGAAAUUAAAAAUGAGUCAUUAAAAGCGGGGGGGGGCGGGGAAGAAAAUGUGGUCAAUCAAUUUCAGUUGCGUAUAGGUGUAGAUGCAAAUGGAAAGCAGCAUGGUUAUUUAACCCUCUAAAAGUCAGAGGGUCUUAUGUCUCCUGUUCAGAGAUGCUGCUUGUAUUUAAAUAAUAUGAUGGACAUUUGGGAAUAAACUAGUGGUUCUUAACUUCUUUUGAUUCACAGAUUCUUUUAAGAAACUGUGGAAAGCUAAGCACAUGUAUGUACAGAUAUAACAUUUGCAUAUUAUUUCAAUGGAUUCAUGGAUUCUGAAGCAUAUUCUGCUAGGGGCAUAUAAAUAGUAUGUGUUAAUUUAUGUUAUGAAAAUCUUAGGUAUAUAAUUUAAAUUUUGUGUAUAAAAUUUAUAAAUUAUCUAGAUUACUUAUGAAUUGUAUAUGUGAUCUAGCUGAAUUGAAUACAUAAGUGUUUAUUAUAAGGCAUUUAAAAAACAUAUAUAAAAUGCCUUAUAUAAAAAGCUGCAUUUUAAAUUAUGUUUACGUGAAGCUUAGGUUGGAAUAUACUUUUGGAGUACUAUUUCUAAAAGAGAAUAUUUCCAAGUAAAGGCUAUUCCCCCUGAAAUGUCAGUCAUAGGCCACUUCUAGAAGAAAAGGUGGGAAAAUAAACACAUUGUCUUAAUGUAAUAUAGCAGGUGACAAAGUGAGCUGACAUGGUUAUGAAGCUAGGUGUAGGAGAUGGUGAUAUAUAAAGGAAAAUUAAAAUGUCAUCUCAUCUGAAGGUUCACUAGUCAUUUCCCCGGGCUGUCUUUAGCCUGUGCAUGGAAAUAGAUUCUUCUGGUCCAAAUAUAAUGCACUUUUAAUUAGUUGACCAUAACAAGAAUAUGUUUCUUUUGAAGUGCUUUUAGCUUAAAGAUGGCAGUGGUUUAAUAUGGAAUUCUAAAAUGAAAUGUUAGGGUAUAAUUUUAAUUAUAUAUAUAAUAGCUACAACAGUGUCAUUUGCUGGCUCAGCUGUGGCUAUUAUAAAAUAGCAAGGACUUCAUGUCUAAAACACCAAAAGCAAUGGCAACAAAAGCCAAAAUUGACAAAUAGGAUCUAAUUAAACUAAAGAGCUUCUGCACAGCAAAAGAAACUGCCAUCAGAGUGAAGAGGCAACCUACAGACUGGGAGAAAAUUUUUGCAACCUACUCAUCUGACAAAGGGCUAAUAUCCAGAAUUGACAAUGAACUCAAACAAAUUUACAAGAAAAAAACAACCCCAUCAAAAAGUGGGCGAAGGACAUGAACAGGCACUUCUCAAAAGAAGACAUUUUUGCAGCCAACAGACACCUGAAAAAAUGCUCAUCAUCACUGGCCAUCAGAGAAAUGCAAAUCAAAACCACAAUGAGAUACCAUCUCACACCAGUUAGAAUGGCCAUCAUUAAAAAGUCAGGAAACAACAGGUGCUGGAGAGGAUGUGGAGAAAUAGGAAUACUUUGACACUGUUGGUGGGACUGUAAACUAGUUCAACCAUUGUGGAAGUCAGUGUGGCGAUUCCUCAGGGAUCUAGAACUAGAAAUACCAUUUGACCCAGCCAUCCCAUUACUGGGUAUAUACCCAAAGGAUUAUAAAUCAUGCUGCUAUAAAGACACAUGCACACGUAUGUUCAUUGCGGCACUAUUCACAAUAGCAAAGAGUUGGAACCAACCCAAAUGUCCAACAACGAUAGACUGGAUUAAGAAAAUGUGGCACAUAUACACUGUGGAAUACUAUGCAGCCAUAAAAAAUGAUGAGUUCAUGUCCUUUGUAGGGACAUGGAUGAAAAUGGAAAACAUCAUUCUUAGUAAACUAUCGCAAGGACAAAAAACCAAACACCGCAUGUUCUCACUCAUAGGUGGGAAUUGAACAAUGAGAACUCAUGGACAUAGGAAGGGGAACAUCACACUCCAGGGACUGUUGUGGGUUGGGGGGCGAGGGGAGGGACAGCAUUAGGAGAUAUACCUAAUGCUAAAUGACGAGUUAAUGGGUGCAGCAAAACAACAUGGCACAUGGAUACAUAUGUAACAAACCUGCACAUUGUGCACAUGUACCCUAAAACCUAAAGUAUAAUAAUAAAAAGUAAAUAAAUAAAAAAAAGAAAUGUUUUCAAGCUUUUUUUUGAUAGUAGUUGAGUUCAUUGAGCAUGUGUGCAUUCAGCUCGCUCACACAUGUGCUCUCUCUCUUUCUCUUUCUUUUUAUAAAAUAAUAUAAAAACUGAAAUUUCCUUAAGAAGAUGUUUCUCCUGAUGCACUUUAAUAAAGCCACACCCCUCCUUCCAUUAGUAUCAGCCAAUCGUGAUGACAUAUAUCAAGAAGAUAGUUGCUGGUGAGGUAAGCAGUGUGGCAGGCCCCUUUGGCCCUUCUUUUCCUGUAAAUUCUUAACUAAGGAAAGCUACAUUAAAAACUGAAGGAACAAUAAGAUACUGUCAUUAGAUAAUAAGUUUAACAACACUCAGGUCUUUAGAAGUAUUUAUUUAUUUACUUUUUCAGAUUUUUCAUUUAGUAAAAUAUGGAGAUUUGUUAUGGGAAACAUUCUCAUCCUUUCCCUACUUGGUGGGAAUUGGACCAAUAGAUGUUUUCAGUAACUCCAAGAGCCUGGGAGUGGAAUCUUAUGAUGUUCUGCUUUUCCCUCAGUCAUGCCAUGGGUUCAUUUAAAUGGGAAAGUUAUUCAAUCAAAUGUUCAGUUGUUCAAACUUGAGUUUUGAGAGUUCUUUAUAUAUUCUAGAUACUAUACUAGAUACUAUUCAAUUCUUUUGGAUGUAUACCCAUAUAUGGGAUUACUGGAUAACAUGGUAGUUUUUUUUUUUUUUUAAGAAAUGCCAUACUGUUUUUUGUAGUUUUUAUAGCACCUUUUAUAUUUCCACCAAUGGUACCCAAGGGUUGCAGUUUCUCUGCAUCCUUGCCGCCAUUUCUUCUUUUCUGUUUAUUUGAUAGUAGCCAUCCUAGUGAAUGUGAAGUGGCAACCUCAUUAUGGUUUCAAUAUGCAUUUCCCUAAUGACUAAUGAUGGUGAACAUCAUUUCAUGUGAUUGUUGGCAAUUUGUAAUCCUUCUUUGGAGAAAUAUCUGUGUGAGUCCUUUCCCCAUUUUAAAAAUUGGGUUUUUCCUUUUUUGUUGUUGAGUUGUGGAGUUAUCCAUAUAUUCUGGAUAUUAUACCCUGACCAGAUAAAUGAUUUGCAAGUAUUUUCUCCCAUUCUGUGGAUUGCUUUUUCACAAUGUUGAUUGUAUUCUUUGAUACACAGAAGUUUUAAUUUUGAUGUAGCCCACUUUUUCUACUUUUACUUUUGUUGCCUGUGUUUUGUAUCAUAGCUGAGUAAUCAUUGCCCAAGCCAAUGCCAUGAAGGCUUCCUUUAUGUUUCUCCUGAGAGUUUUAUAGUUUUAAGUCUUUUGUUUAGGUGUUUUAAUUUUUGUUUAUAGUGUAAGGUAAGCAUCCAACUUCAUUCUUUUGCAUGUAGAUAUCCAGUUUUAACAACAGCAUUUGUUAAAAAGACUGUCUUUUCCUCCAUUGAAUGGUCUUAGCACUCUUGUUAAAAAUUAUUUGACCAUAUAGUUUUCUAAUCCAUGUACGUGGAUUGGUUUUUCAUAACCCAAUUAAGUUUUUAAAAACACAAAUUCUGAACCUGGAAUUUAAUCUGGAUGAAUGUAAUCUUGUUUGUUUAGGCCUGUCUUCUAAUCUGAUGAGUUUCUUGUAAAGCUUUUUAAAUAUAUAAAUUUAAUAUAUACACUACUUCUCCCAAUUUUAUAUCAUCUCUAACUUUGGUAAGCAUGCCUCUUAUGAUCUCAGCCAAGUUGCUGAUGGGCAUAUUUAGUAGCAUUGUCCCAAUUCCAGGACUUAAUAACAACCCAUUAGAGAUAGUGCGAAAAAUUGAAUUUCAACAUUCAUUUUUCAGUCUAUACUGUUUGGGUAUGUUGCAAACAUAACUGAUAUCAUUUCCCUGUGGUUCUUCACUGUGCCCAGAAGAACAUCAAGAAUUUCUCAUUUAAACGUUAUAGUCUUUUUCUGCCCUUCAGCCUUGCAACCAUAUAAAAAAGGGAAAAUAUUUAGUUUCAUAUAAAGUAUUUUAAUGAAAAUAUUCUGUCUUUAAUUGGUCAUUGUCUUCACGUGUGUUCAUCAUUGUUUAAUAACCAGUUCUAGACUUCUCAGGAAAUUUAUGUCAGACUUUAUCCUUGCAUAAAUCAUAAAAUUGUAGUUCAGACUCACCUUUUUAAAGAAAUAAUUUGUGUAGUCAGGAGGGGAAUAUUUCAAUAUAUAAAGAACAAUCAGUAAGAGUUAUAGCUGAAAUUUAUGUUCUGUCUCUCAAUGUGCCCCGCACAGUGUUGGGAAUGCAUAAUAUAUCUCAGGUCAUUUUGGGUUGACUGUGAAAUAACGGAAGUGUAUAUUCUUUCAUUGUUUUUAUCAUGGUAGAGCAGGCAUGGUCAGCCUUAUGAAUAAGAACCUAAGGUUCUUAUAAGUGAAAGUGCAGGCACUCAAAGUCCUGUCUUUGACUCAACCUUUCACCCUUAUUCCUUCUUACUGAUUGACCGACUGGAUGUUUACAUGAUUCAUUCAUUCUUUCAUUUAGCAAACAUUUCCUGAGCCACCACCAUGUACAUAGUGUUUUGUUAUAAUAAUCUGGAAUUAAACACGACAAGACCUUUGAUCUCAUACAAUAGAGGGAAAUAGGGCAAUGGAGGCAACCCCCUAUAAUACUAAUCAUGAUAAAAUAAACAUCAUUUUAAAGAUAAAAUGUAUGUGUGUUGGGAAUGCAAAGGAAGACAUAAGUAAUUAUGACUGUGAGAACUGGAAAUGUCUUCAUGGGAAAAGUAGAACAUGUGCUGAUUUUAAAUUUCAGUGGCAGCCAAGUGGAGGGAAUGAGGAAGCCACACAAGGAAGGUUCCUGAGCCCAUGGAAAGGACUUUAUCUGCUUCUAGUCCUUGGAGCAUAGAGUGUGUGGAGUGUACAGGACUGGGAGUGUUAAGACGAGGUUUGAUUGUGGGGUUUCUUCAAUGCUCUAGUAUGAAGUUUGGGCCUUAUUCUCUAUUAAGUAAAGAGCUGUUUAAAGUUCCCAAGUAGGAGAAUGAAAUGAUUAUGACGAUUUAGAAAGAUAAUUCUUGUUAAUGGCAUGAAAUAUAGAUUAGAGAGUCAAGACUGGAAGGAAGGAGCCCAACUCUCAAGCCAGUGCAAUAGUUCAGGUAGGAGAAAUGGAAAUACAAAAUUGGUCUCUUACAAAAAGGUCAGAACUGUCUGGAGUGCAAUGAGUGGCAUGUAACUACUGCUUUUAAUCCAAACAGCAUUUUCUUUUUGUGAUUACGGAGACGUUAAAAUUCUUUGUUAUAUAACGAGAAUAAAAAUUGGAUUUUUCAAAACAAAAAUGCCCUGUUUUUACUUGAGGUUUCUAGCUUCUUUUUGAAUGAUAAAUAUAGGUUGUAAUUUUCUUUCACUGAUGCAGUUUUUAAUUUUAAAAGGGUAGUCACUCUAUAAGAAUCAGCACGUUUUAGCAUAAAUGGUCUUCCUGUGGGAGGCAGACAAUCUGAGCUACCUGUAUUUUAAUUUAAAUAUUUUGGUUUUCGGGAGACAUGAAAUGGAUUCAGGGCUUAUAAAUGGGAGCUCAAGUGUUUAUAACACUGAAAAUACGGAGGCCUGGGAACUUCAUGAAAAGUUGGACAAGCCUAAAUUAUUUUAGUGAUAAUUUUGUCUACCUAUUAAACUUUCGUUCUAAAUUGUAGCCUCUCAAGGUGAAGAGUUCCCUCCAUUUAUGAUGGAUGAAUUCUAUGAUGAUAGAAAAAUUGAACAUAUAAGUUUUUCUCCUGAUGACUUGCUGUGGUCACCUGCCUCUGGGGAGCCUGUUUUCUGAGGAUAUUCUUUCCAAUAUUGUACUUGCAACUCAUUCUGAAAUUAUGGAAUUAGUAUUCUUAGUUUCUUCUUCUCUCUGCCUUUAAACAGAAGUAGACAUAGCUACAGUUAUGUAUUUGACUUGCCAGAAUUUCAGUUUUCAAAAUGCCUGCUAUGAAGGGCAUGGUAAGGAAGUACUUUUUGCUGUGGGGUCAUGAUUGUUUCUAUGCACAAAUUUAGUGAGUGCACUCUUUGCUUGACUAGCUAACAAGUGCUCUGGGCUUAUGUCCAUUUUUCAGUCUUUUAAAAAAAGGAGAAAGAAAUGUGUUCAGAACUUUCUCAACUCGAUGGGGAAAUUAUUCAUGUUACAUGAACAGACGAGUCCUCCCCAUGGCAGCCUCUUUCAUGUAACCUCCAGUGAGUCCCUUGACACAUUUAACUUUCCUUAUGUGUACAAGCUCUUUAUUCAGGUUUGAUUAAACGGCAAAACAAUAGUUGUGGACUGUCUUGGUUCCCUUUGGGCUACUUUGAAUAGUGAACAUGCAGCAGAAGAUGCCGGGAGUCAAAGGAAAUGGCGCUGAAUGUCGAAAGGUCAGUCCCUCAAAGAUAAUUUCACCAAAUGAGAAAAUAGAAACUCUCACAAAAAAGCUGAGGUCAACCAUGCUUCAUUCUUAAUCUCCAUUUUUUUUUUUUUUUUUACUGUAUUUGAUGAAUAAAUUUCCUUUUACCUCAUGUAAUGUUUAGGUGUAAAUCUUUGAUUGUUGUAAAGGUGUUAAGUCAACAAUUACCUGUUAAAGCUUUCAUGACCCCAAAAUUGAACUAUUCAGAAAUACAAGUGCAUUAAGACAUUAUUUUUAAAGCUUAAUUUUUUUAGAACAGUUUUAGUUUCAUAGCAAAACAGAGAUUUUGAAGACACAAAGAUUUCCCAUCCAUCCCCUGCCUGCACCUUGUCUUCCAUCUUGCAUAUUUUUUGAAGGAUCGCAAUGAACAACAAUGGGAUCAAUAAUGGGGAGGGCCACACACUUGUAAUCCUAGCACAUUUGGAGGCCGAGGUGCGCAGAUCGCUGGCGCCCUGGAGUUCGAGACUAGCCUGAGUAACAUGGCAAAACCCUGAAAAAUACAAAAAUAUUAGUAGGGUGUGGUGGUGUGUGCCUUUAGUUCCAGCUACUUGGGAGGCUGAGGUGGGAGGAUCACCUGAGCCAGGGAAGGCUGAGGCUGCAGUGAGCUGUGAUUGCACCACUGCACUCCAGCCUGGGCAACAGAGUGAGACCCCAUCUCAAAGCAAAACAAAACCAAACCAAAAAAGCACACAACACACAUACACGUACGAUGGAGCUGACUGAUCCAGAUACUCCUUUCACCCCCUAAAGGGAGAAAAAGAGUGAGCUAUACUGAGUUUCUGCUGUGGCGAAUAUGGAAUGAGCUUUCAAGUUAGACCGCCUGGGCUGGAGGGCCAGCCCACUGCUCACUAGUUGCACCAUGUAGAACAACUGUUGCACUCUCUCUACAUCCCAGUUUGUUCGUCUAUAAACUGGGUAUUCAUAGUAUUUACCUUGCAAUGCAGGCUUUUAUAAUAAAAAUUAAAUAAGAUUUCUAUGUAAAGCACUUAUCAAUGUGCCUGGCCCAUAGAAAGCACUCAGUAAAUGGUAUGUGCUGUUGUUCAUUCUUUCCACAAAUACAUACUGGUUAACUUUACCCUGUUCCAGACACUUUUCAGCAUGCUGGACUAUAUAGUGAACAGUUCCUCCCCUCCUAGAAAUAUAUUCUAGAGGUAGGAGGCAACAAUAACCAUAAUAAAUGAGCAAAUUACAUUGUAUGCUAGAAACUGGUGAGAGCUAUGAAAUAAAACUGAACAUCAUAAUAGAGAUCGGGAGGAGGAGUACAGGAACUGGGGCAACGUGCAGUUUUACAUAGAAAGUCACAUUAGGCCUCGUGGAGAAGACAACAUUUCAACAGUGACUUGGAGGUAUUUGAUUGUUAUUAGUACUACCAAGUAGGAUUUUGUUCUACCAAAUAGGGCUUUGCUUUAUGCCUACAUUUCUACCCUUACUGCGUGUUGUAAAACUUGAUGAUAAUGAUAAAUGCAUACUUAAUACUAAUAAUUAAAAUACUAAUACUAGAAAUUAUAAUCUAUGUUUAUACUCAUUUUAGCUAUAUAAUCUCCUCUCCUUUUCAUAUUUUUCUUUUCUUUUCUUUUUUCUUUUUUUUUUGAGACAGAGUCUUGCUCUGUCUCCCAGGCUAGAGUGCAGUGGCGUGAUCGUGGCUCACUGCAACCUCCGCCUCCCAGGUUCAAGUGAUUCUCCUGCCUCAGCUUCCUGAGUAGCUGGGAUUACAGGCACGCGCUAUCACGCCCGGCUAAUUUUUGUAUUUUUAGUAGAGACGGGGUUUCGUCAUGUUGGCCAGGCUGGUCUUGAACUCCUGACCUUAAGUGAUCUGCCCACCUCAGCCCCCCAAAGUGCUGAGAUUACAGGCGUGAUUCACCGCACCCAGCCUCCUUUUCGUAUUUCACUCAGUUCCACUUCAGUGAGUUUAGGGAUUAGACCAGUAAGGAAAUUAGUUCUUUUUGCUUACAGACAACAGAAAUAGAAGGAAACAAACUAGAAAUUAGCUCCUUAAAAACAAAAUACUAAAACAAACUACAGAAUUCUUCUACAGAUUCAGGAUUUCUCAACUAUCUUUUGUCUAUUUUAUCCAACUUUCCAAUGCAGUAUCACACUGAAACGCCAGUAUUUCUGAAAAUACUUGGGCUCAUCUUUGUUGAAGUUAUUGACAAAAAAGUUCUCGCCUUUUCUGUGAAUGAGAAAUAUUGAGGUGUUUAUGCAGUCUACGGUUUGGUGCUGCUAUUGACUCAGGUUGGCAUGGGAACUGGUGCCUUGUUACCGCUUACAAUAACGAAGCAUCCUCAAAGAACAGGAAAAGCUGCCCUUUCAGAGUUCUAUAUGGCAUUAGUCUAUAUUUCUCUCUUCUAAUCAUGAGCAAAUGCUAUUUUCCUUUUCAGAGCUAGCAUCACCUUUUGGUACUUUUGCGCUUUACCUUCCUGUGUAGAUUAUUGGAAUCUACUCUCUAGGGUUUCUCUGUGCAUCCAAAGCAGUUGUUACCAACCCUGUUAGAUUCAAUGCUGCAUCUUUGUAAUAUGUUUUGGAAUAUCCCCUUUAUUUCUGAAAUGAAAUGUACUAAUAAUAUAACUGCCUCUACACAUAAAUUUAAAUAUUAAAAUAGUGUUACAAUUUUAAUAUAAAAAAAGAGAAAGAUAGCUUUCAGUGUAUUUUAUUAUGUAAAUGCUUGUUGACUAUUCUUGGAGAUAAAAUGAUGUCAUCAGGUGUUCGGACCUACCUGCAAUGAAUAUAUUUGGAUUAAAGAGGAGUAAAACAACAUUCAACUGAGUAUUGGCAAAAGCUUUUCUUUCUAUUUGAAGUUUUGAAAUAAGGAGUAAAUAAGUAUACACAUAAACAUACAUAUAAUCCUAUAAAGGUAACAUCUAUGUAUGUAGAUUGAUGCCUGGUUAUUGUGUGUGAUUUAAAUGCCAUGAAUCGUUGACAUGAUUUUUCAUAAUGAUGAACAACUCUUGGUACAAUUGCAAACAAAACAAAGUAUAAUUCCUCUUCAAUUUACAUUUAAGGAUGUUGCAUUCCUUGAUAAUUCAGUGACUAUUAAACAGUGCAAGAAACACUUUGUCUGUAAGUAAAAUACAGUUAGGCUCUAUAUUCAAAGAAGUAGCGGAUUUUCUCACCUACCAGCAAGUCUGGUGGAACAUUUGAAAGACUUGCAGGAUACUGGGUAAUUAUUUGUUAUCCAAGACUGUCCUGUCUAGCAGGCCUGGCUACAGUCUACCACAUGCCAUUGUGACAAUUAAAAAUACUGAAAAUGGUCCCUGGUACCCCGACUGAGAACCACUGAUCUAAAGCUCCUUUGCAGUGCUCAUGCCCAAAUGGGGAUCCCAUCCAAGCUGCAGUGCUGUGUUGCUCCAUGAUUUAGCUUGGCAACGGCACUGCGCCAUUUGUAAGUAAUGCCUCUUAGUGCUCUGGAAUUACUCUGCAUGAAGCACUUUCCAGAUGGCUGGCUGAUAGCUUCUGGGGAUACUGAAAUGCUGUUCCGAUGGUUUCUAAGUCUGCAGUCUCUUCCUUCCAGUACAUCGUAUAGAUUCCUCCAAGGUUAUUGUGUCUAAAACGGAUACAGUGGAUAGGUAGUUGCCACUCCUUUUUACUGCUACUCUAAUUACAAAUUAUGUUUUGUUGGUGGUGGCGUUUCAUUGAUGGGCUGAUUGCUUGAUUGGCUGUUUUCCUCUCUGUCAUCAUCUAAGGUUCAUAGUCAUAUUACCCGUAUUUGUUAUUCAGGAUCCCUCUCACCACUUCUGAUCAUGAUCACAUCACUAUUGCUUUUGCCAUUGCCAUUCUUUCUUUUAUUCCUCUUAGCUUUACCAAAGUGUCUUUUAUUAUAUGUUACCACUCCAUCAAAGUAUGUCUUUCCUUCGAGCUCAUGAGUCACAGUCUUCAGCUGAACUUUAAAAAUUGUUCUAUACUCAGUAGAUUACUUUUAAAAUAUUAAAUAGGUAAAAAAUUUAAAUUUUAUUUGUUUAUUCCUCUUUGGUCUAUCUAUAUCAAAGUGAAGAGGUAUCUGAAAGACCUGGUUUCUAGAAAUCUCAAGUUUGUUUUUCGUAGAAACUUGUCAUACAUAGUAUGGUUACCCCAUUUACCACACAGGUACAGUGGGAUUUUGUCUGAGGAAUUUGAAUUUGGCGUAACAGGCAAUAAAGAGCCAGUGCAUAUUCUUCAGAUAAAAUUAAAAUGAUGAAAAUUAUAUUCUACUGACUUAAAUAGUAUUCAUUACGCAGGGGUUUUUGAAGGGCAUUGGAUGCAGAUUCUACUUCAAUAUAUGAAGUACUAAGGAAGACUAUUCAAAGUUUUAAAUAUGCUGCCAUCAGCAUCUUUACCAGCUGUAGUAAAGUUCCAUAAUCGUCGAGACAUCGUAACUCCAUAAGGGAAAUUCCAGAUUUUAAGUAGAAGAUCAUUCUGUGACAGUGUCAUGGGAGGCCUGGGGUGAGGCCUGUCCAGGUCUCUGUGUAUGAUCAUCAGACACAUUCUCAGCCAAGACAUAUGCUAGCUGAAGACAUCACACCGGGUUAUUUUCUGUCUUAAAUUAUGCUGCUUGUGUCCCUCUCUGGCCUUAUGUCAUCUGCCUUUUAUUGUAGUUACUCUUUUACUCAUUCAUCUACCUCAUUAGGUUGGAAAACCGAGGGAUAGUCUUAUGCAUUUUUUUGCACUUACAUUGCCUACCUCAGUGUUUUGCACUUAAUAGGUGAUGGAUACAUGUUAGGAAAUUGGCUCUAUUCAGACUUCACCUUAUUUGUGGACAGCAUCUUUGGAUUUUAUGCAAUUUAAUUACCUUCAAAGACUUUGUGAUUUGGUUGAUAAAACCUUAAAAAAACCUCUUAGAACUGUAGUCAUUAUUGCUGGAAGUAACUUUUCUUUCUUUCUUUCUUUCUUUCUUUCUUUCUUUCUUUCUUUCUUUCUUUCUUUCUUUCUUUCUAUUCAUUCAUUCAUCCAUUUGGGACUUUUUAAAUAGUCACUUUGGCCAACUCCACAUUUUACAGACUGGGAAACAAACUAGAGAGGUUAAGUGACUUGCCUUAAAUCCACAGCCAAUUAGUGACAAUAUUGAGACUAGAACACAGGCUAAAGUUACUUUUUAAAAAGAGUGUUUAUCACUUAUUAAAACUGUUGCUUUUGCAAUAAUAGUGAUAGGAUAAUUCAUCAUUAAUUCAAUACUUAUUGACUUUGUUAUACACAAAAUGUGGUUUAAGCAUUGGCAGUGAGCUAAACACAAAGACAACAUUUUAAGUGGAAAGGAUCUUAAAUGGAAAGAUUUUAAAAUAAAGAAAAUGUGGUAUAUUCAUAGAUAUAGUGACAAGGAUGACAGAGAUGACCUGUAAGAGGCACUGAUAGGAAGAAAGGCUGAUGGCAGCAGAUGCAGAACUAGUCCCAUCUUUUGGUGCUAGGGCUGCCAUUUCGUUGAUAGUUCCUGUGUAAAAUUGUGCAUUUCUCAGGGAAAAAAAAAAAGAAAAAUGGACAGUAUGCAUCCCUUUGUAAUGUUUUAAUUAGGCAUUUUGGACUUAGAAUACUACCUUAUGUAAAACAGUACAAGCAUGUAAUACAAUUUUAAUAGCUUCAAUUUUAUUAGGGACAAAAAUAAAAAUAUGCAACCCAAGGACUGCCACCUUUAGGAAAGUCAAUGCAGAAUGAUUUUGUGUGUGUGUGUGUGUGUGUGUGUGUGUGUGUGUGUGUCGACAUGGAGUCUCACUCUGUCUCCCAGGCUGGAGAUUGCAGUGGUGUGAUCUUGGCUCACUGCAACCUCCGCCGCCCGGGUUCAAGCUGUUCUCCUGCCUCAGCCACCAGAGUAGCUGGGACUACAGGUGCCCGCCACCAUGCCCAGCUAAUUUUUGUAUUUUUAGUAGAGAUGGGGUGUCACCAUUGUUGGUCAGGAUGGUCUCGAUCUCUUGACCUCAUGAUCCGCCCACCUCGGCCUCCCAAAGUGCUGGGAUGACAGGCGUGAGCCACCGUGCAGGGCCAAUGCAGAAUGAUGUAGGCUGUUGCAUCAGAUAGCUCUUCUGUUUAGAUUAUCAACUGCUUGCACCUUGAAGUUCUCUUUAAUUUUGGAUUGCUUUGAACAUAUUCAGCUCGUUAUUUGAAAGGUGUUCUGGUACUUCUAAAUGUCAGAUUUCUGUGAUUUUGAACUUUGUAAUUGUUACUCAAUUUUCAGUGAGAGAACAAGGUAAAAGAGGGAUAAUACAUUGUAAAGGACAGUCAGUAAUCUCCUCUUAAUUUUUCUCUUUAACUGCACUCCACUGGGUAUUAUAGUGUUUCAUGGAAAUCAAAGUAAAACCAAAAAUCUCAAAGUAUGUUUUCCCUUGACAGAAACUUCCUACGAAGAAGCUCUGUGAUCCAUAGAUUUAAAAUUGGCCUCUUUUGGGAGUCAUUUGAUUUGCCUGAAGUUAAUCAUGGCUAUGCCCUUCAUUGUGUUUUUCCGUGCAGAUGUGAAAUUAGUCCUGGAGAGCAGGGGCAUGUUUGUUUGGUGUCCUUGGUUAGGACAUCAGCUGAGUUUGGCCUGGUCACCAUAAACAAUGUCGUCUUACAUUUGGUUACUGAGCAAUCCAGAGUUCAAUGAAAGCGUUCAGCUAAGAGUUAAGUGAAACGUGUCCUUUAGUCAAGUACGUGAUUUGGUCUUUAAUUAGUUGGUGCAUUUUUGAUAAUUACUUGGCAACUAGUGAUAUUUCAUUAGCAUGUAAUAGGAUUAAUAUUUAGUGAACCAUUUUUGAAAUAAAUGACAGAUGUUCAGAGCCUUGGUAAUUUGUCAUAUGGUAGCAAGUAGUAGUUUUCAGAAUUCUUAGUUCUGUCAUAUAUGAAUACACCUUCUUAAGGGUGUGUGACUCUGUGUGUUUGAGAAACAGCACUCUCUUUGUUGCUUAGGCUGGAGUGCAGUGGUGCGACCUUGGCUCUUGGCACACUGCAGCCUCAAACACCUGGGCUCAGGUGAUCCUCCUGCCCCUGCCUCUUGAGUAGCUGGGACUACAAGUGUGCAUCACCAUUCCUGGCUAAUUUAUUAAAUUUUUUGUAGAGAUGGGAUCUUGCCAUGUUGCUCAGGCUGGUCUCGAACUCCUGGCCUCAAGAGAUUCUCCUGCCUCUGCCUCCCAAAGUGCUGAGAUUACAGGCAUGAGCUACCAUUCCUGGCCCUGCAUUCUUUAUAAGUGUGUCUACUUAUCUCCAAAGAAUAUUGGAGAUUCUUUUUUUUUUUAAAAUUAGUCUUUUCUUCCCGUUCAUUCUGCAAGGGAUAUUUAUUUUUGAAAUUUUGGAGAAUGAGAGUUUUUCCUUUAAAAUUGAACUAUUUUUGAAUACCACUCCAGAGGAUGUAGGUGUUGUAUUAACUGAAGUUUCAUUCUGAACAUGGGAAGUUUAAUUAUCUUGUGGUAUUUUAUUUGAUUAGAACUCUGUAGUAAUCCCUUUGCUAUAUUGUGAUGCUCUUGUCAUGGAUGAUAUUCCCAGUUUCUGUCAUUAACACUGUACUCUUUUCCCUGUAAUGACAUCAAUGAUUACUCAUUUCAGAACCAGUUUCCAGCAUAUGUUCUUCCUACUUCCUGCAACAGUCAUUUUGUAGUUACUGCCCUGAAGGGCAAGUCUUUAUCCUUCCAUUAGAUGGGUUCGGUAUGAGCUGCUAUUAAUUUUAGGACAUGAAAGAGAGAUAAUCAACACUGUUAUUUCUCUGGGAGUACACUGAAAAUUAAAUAUGUAGACUAAAAACUACACUGUAUCUUAAGUCAACUUCUGUUCAUUGUAACAGACAUUUAGAUGAAUUUUGGACUCUUUCAUUUUUAAAAGAUUAUAGUUAUAAUGAACAAUAAUUAGGAAAGCUUUUUUUUUUUUUUUCAAAAUGGAAGGAAUUUCAAAAUUCAUAGUAAUGGUGAAAAGUAAAGAAAAAGAAAUAACCCUAAACGCAAAACAAAACGAAACAUGAGAGAGGACCAUCAGUUAGCCAUGAUCUGACUCAGUCUGCAAGACAGUGAAUAACUUCCAAAUGGUUCUUUAUUGCUACACAUUUACUGGGUGGCUUAAAAAAAUAUUCAUAGAGCAAGAGAAAUUAUGUAUUAGGAUAAUGUCCUAGUAAAAUAUUACUUUUGUUUUGUCUUUAUAUCACAAAAUAUUUAAAGUUUAGUACAUAUUAGGGGCUAGAGAUUGCAGACACAACAUGAUAUUCUGUCUUAAAAGCUGUAUUCAUAUUUUCUGAUAUUCUUAGCCUGUAUCCUUCUCAAACCAAGAAGUGUGUUUUAUUCGUUUUUGUAUCCCCACUGUAGCAAUGUGGAAUGAACAUGAGAUUAAAGAAAGCCAUCCUUCAUGUAGUCAUUUUUGUCAACACUGAGAAAAUAUUGAUUGAGCAGGUGGUGUAAGCCAGGCACAGUGCUCAGAGGUGGGGGUACCAACUUGUGUGAUAGGUGGUCCCUGCCCUUCUGGAUCUCACAGCCUAGCAGGAAAGACAGAUGUGUACAUAACUAACCCCAAAUACAUUAUUCAGUGGUCUGUACAGAGUGUCUGGACGCACACAGGAGGGAUGGUUGGGUUGGAGAUGAUUUCACAGAAUAAAUCACAUUCAAGUUUGGCUGGCCUGUGACCCAUUAUUUAUAAAUCAAAAUAUUGGCCCUCUAGCCAAUGCCAUUAUGAGCCACACAUUAUGCCAAGUGCUAAAGAUAUAGAACUGGACACAACAUACUCCCUACACUCAAGAGCCCAUUGAUUUGUAGAAGACAUAUACAGAUGUUUAGGAAUCCAACAAGCAGAAGCUGUGGAUGGGAUGCUGUGGAGGGAGGGGGGAGACUGACGAGGAGAGCCUCAGUAGGGCUGGGGAAGAGAGGCCCAGCCAAGACUACACAGGAAGCGACCCUUGAGUUUAGGAAGGGGUCUAGGAAUUUAGUAGGUCAGUAGAGGGUGGAUUAAGGUCUGGUUUCAGGCAGUGAAACCCGUCAUCGAUGAAAAUUUGGAGCAUGGUAAGUGAUGGGGUUCAGGACAUGCUACCCCAAAAUAUGGCAUUAGAACAAACAGCAGAAGCAAGAAGGUUGCGCUUAUCUUCUACUCAUCCUUAUCUCCUGAAGCAAGUUAUAAAUCCUUCAUUCCAGAGGCAUACUCUCUAUACCUGGAGAAGAGACCAUCCUUAUCCUCAAAGACAGAGAGCUACCAAGAAGAAUGUGAACAAACAGGUGUUGCUAAGUGUUCCCCAAUUUAUUACCAUUAGGUCAUGUUCCCAUUGUCCAAUCUCGCUUCCCCGUAACUGUCUGGUCUUCAUGAACCCUAAGCAUAACAAUACACCAGUUUCCCUGCUCUUCGGGUCUUCACUUCUCAAGGCUCCUGGGUCACUUAAAACCUACGUUAAAAUAAAUGUAUGCGCUAUUCUCUUGUCAGUCUGUCUUUUGUUAUAGGGAUCUCAGCCAUGAACUGAUGGGUAAGAAAAGAAACAUUUUCCUCUCCUACAUAGAGAAUAGAAUUCUUAAGAAAAAUAGUGUAUGUCGUACAUGGCAGGAGAUGAAAUUGGCAGCAGCAGGGCUUAGAACUUCUGAUAGGUGAUAGAGAGUUGUUCAAGAGUGAGUGUUUUAGGCCAGCUGUGGUGGCUCGUGCCUGUAAUGGCAGCACUUUGGGAGGCAGAGGUGGAUGGACCACCUGAGGUCAGGAGUCCGAGAUCAGCCUGGCCAACAUGGUGAAAUCCCGUCUCUGCUAAAAAUAUAAAAAUCAGCCAGACAUGGUGGCACAUGCCUGUAGUCUCAGCUACCCAGGAGGCUGAGGCAGGAGAAUCGCUUGAACCCUGGAGGUGGAGGUUGCAGUGAGCGGAGAUCAUGCCACUACACUCCAGCCUGGGCAGUAGAGUGAGAUUCCAUCUCAAAAAAGAAAAAAAGGAGGGAGUAUUUUAGUUACAGCUUGGACUUAGCUACAAGACAGGGACCCAACUACAGUGGUGGAAAGAUACAACAGUUUAUACUCUUAUAUAAGAGAAGUCUAGGCUGGGUAUGGUGGCUCAUGCCUGUAAUCCCAGCACUUUAGGAGGCCAAGGUGGAAGGAUAGCUUGAGGCCAGGAGUUUGAGACCAACUUCCAAAAAUAAAAAAAAAUUUAGCCAAGCAUGGUGGCAUGCAUUUGUAGUCUUAGCUGCUUGAAAAGCUGAGGCGAGAGGAUGGCUUUAGCCGUGCAUUUUGAGGCUGCAGUGAGCUAUGAUUGUGCUACUGCACUCUAGCCUGGGCAACAGAGUGAAACCUUGUCUCUAAAAAAAUAAAAUAAUAAAAUUAAAAUUAAAAAUAAAAAUAAAUGACAUCUAGAGGGAAGUAUUCCAGGUCUGGAGAAGCAUCUUUAAAAGGUCCUCAGAUGUCAAUCUUUCUUUUGGUUGUGCUGCACCUGACUUUCAUCCUUAAGGUCCUGCACGGUUCAAGGUGGCUGCUGGAGCUCCAGCCAUUACCCCUGCAUUGAGAAAGAAAGGCAGAAGAGCCAAAAAGAGCACAUGCCUCAUACCUUUUAAGUUUAAGUUCUGCUGAAGUUUCAUACAACACUUCUCUUUAGCACACAUUUUAAAAAAAAAAUUGGGAGUCUGAAGGAAGAAGGGAGAAUGGGUAUUUCAGACUAGCUGGCAUUUUCCAUCACCUGGAGGUGUCUCAUCAGAUGUUGAUUUACAAAGAUUUCCCUGGCAGAGCAUGGAGGAUUUGUUGGAAAGGGUAUGAAACCAGCAGAAACGAGCACUCCACAGUUUGUGUGUUUAAUGUUUCCCAUUGCUGACAUUCUUGAGUAAGCGUCAGUGAUGGUUCUAGCUUGAGGCACUUGGAUCAUUGGGGUGCAGGUGCACCAUAUUGCACGUGAUACCUGCACAUGCAACUUCCUGAUGGGAUUUAAUGGAGGCUUCUAGGGUGUCUCUAAGGGUCUUCAGUGCAUUUGAGGUGAGGAAUGGAGUUGAGUUCUGUCUUCUGUGAUUUCAGUAUUUGGUGCACUUUCUGCUUGGAAAAAUCUCACCUUUAAAAAUAUUUCCCAUUCUUUGAAUAACCGUAAAGGUAUCAUUUAUGAUGUUUUCUGCUUUGACUUUUUUUGGCCUAACAUUUGAAUUCUGGAAAAAUAAACUAAAAGUCAGCUACUGUUUUUACCUUAAAUUUAUCCUUUAGUGUGUAUUUAAAAUAAUUAUUUGUGAAAUUAUUUAGCACUUAAGGUUUAUAUACCUCGUUGCUGAGAAUUUUGCUCAGUAUAUAUUCUGAGCAUUUUCAGAAUCACUAUUGUUUGUGUAGUCCCUUACCUUUAAAAGUUCGUUAUCAGCAUUACACAGUUAUUGGUCUUUGCCUCCUAGGACCUUAUAGUAUUUGUACUAUGUGUGAUGAUCAUGAUAUUGUAACUAUUAGCUGUUAAGUUCCUAGCAGAAAGAAAUUCUGUCACAGAAAGAAUAUGUAAUUUGACCAGUGCAAAUAAAUAAUGUUAUUCUACUGUUUUUCGGAAAUGAAAGAACCAAGUUUUUAAAGUAGUUAUGUUUUUACUAUAAAAGAUUCUUGGGUUGAUAGGCGCAGCAAACCACCAUGGCACACGUUUACCUAUGUAACAAACCUGCACAUCCUGCACGUGUACCCUGGAAUUUGAAAUAAAAAAGGUUCUUGAAGUUUCUGGCUGCCUGUGUUACAUAGUGGGUUUCUAAGUUUAAGUGAGAGCGAGAGAGAGCGAGAGAGAGAGAGCGUGAGAGCGAGCACUGGGGUCAGGAGUGGGGGGAAGCCUUGCCUUGUCAUUACUGAGUUUGUAUAACCAGACACCUGGAUCAGAUUUCAGAAAGCACAUGAAAUAAUUUCAAUUGUAAUAUGAAAAUGCUUUUAAAAAAUGAGAUAAUCAGUCAUCCUGGAUUUGUUUAUUCUGCAAAACCUGGCUUUGAGGUAUUUUUGGCAUCUGGGUAGCCUGCCUGCUGUGUUUUGUUGAAGCAGAAGGGGGCGGUAGAGAAACCAACAAGAAAGCCCACAUCCGUGUUGGCUCCUUCUAACGGAAGGUGCUGUGCCAUGUAAAUACACUACAAGGAAAUGAAAGCGGAAAGUCAUGUCCUGUAUUUAUUAAAUUCUAAAAAUGAUUGCAAAACAUUUUCAGAUAACAUGAUUCGGAUUUCUACUUGUCCAUUUAUACAGAUAUUGCGAAGUGGAUAUAUUUGUAUGUUUUGUUCUAAGAUCUGACAAGCAAGUGUAGAGUGGAUUAUUUGUAAUUCAGUACAGCUUUCAGUGGGGCUUGUUUUCCAGUAGACAUUCUGUGUGUUUAUAGAAAAGCAGAUGCUCUAGUGGGUUUUUGCAGUUCAUUCUAAUAUUUAUAAUUUAUCCACUGGAGCAAGAGUUUUUAAGGAAAACCAUUUCAUUUCUUGUUAAAAUUAAGGGGAGUUAAUGCCUUUUGACUGAAUUUUGGUUUUGGAGUCAGUUAGUGGUCUAAUUUUUUUGUUUUAUUUUUAAAGUAUUGCCUUUGAAAAUUUUCCCAUUUGUUGAAAGGAACAAGGUCUAAGCUGACUGGUUGGUUUCAUGCCCUUAACCUUUGAAAACGUGGUAAUUAAUUAAAGCAAUACUAUUUUUCUGUAAAUGAUGGCCAAGUCAUGUUAAUGGGCCUGGCUAACUAGUUAUAUGUGCUAUGUAUAAAAGCUGUUCUAUUUCUCAUUAAUAUUCUAUAUUUCUUUUUCUGUGAUUCAGGACAGUAAGAUAGCAUAGCUGAGGGCUUCUCACGGAAAACCUAUCCGGUAUUUUGAUGUAUUCUAUGUUUAAGAUAAUGGACAAUGUUUAGUGGUUAACAGGAAACUAGUGCCUCUUUUCACUGACUUACAAGUUAAAAAAAGGAGUCAUUGAGUUAUAUGGUAUCUUCCUCUGCAGGAGAGCUAGGGAAGAUACAGUGGCAGUUCUGUUCCAAAUCCAUUAUGUGUAUUUUAUAUUUAGAUAAAUUUAAUCUAUUGACUUGUUACAGCCCCAUUUUAUAAGAUAAGCUGUGAAAGAAACCUCUUCAAUGUGAUUUACAAAGUGAGAAGUUAAGUGUUAGUUGUACUCUACUGGUAAGGAUUUAUAGCAUGGUACAGUAGUUAGCAGAAAGUGUGUGUGUGUGUGUGUGUGUGUGUGUGUGUGUACAUCUCAGGGUGCUUGAGGUAUAGGAUUACAGUUAAUUCUUUUUUUCUUUUUUCUUUUUUAGACAGAGUUUCGCUCUUGUCGCCCAGGCUGGAGCGCAGUGGUGUGAUCUCGGCUCACUGCAACCUCUGCCUCCCAGGUUCAAGUGAUUCUUGUACCUCAGCCUCCCGAGUAGCUUGGGAUUACAGGCGCAUGCCACCACGCCCAGCUAAUUUUUGUAUUUUUAGUAGAGAUGGGGUUUCACCAUGUUGGUCAGGCUGAUCUCGAACUCCUGACCUCAGGUGAUCUGCCCGCCUUGGCCUCCCAAAGUGCUGGGAUUACAGGUGUGAGCCACCACACCCGGCCAUGAUUACAAUUAAUUCUUAUUGAAAGUACUUAGUGGCUCAUCUAUUCUUAUCUCUUUCCAAUGCUAGUCAUCUCGUUCUCUCUCUAUAUGGUAGUUGUUAUUUGAUGAGCACUAGUUGUAUAAAAGUAAUGUCUGAUUUCUUCAAGAAACGUUUUUCUUUUCUGUCAUCUGUGACCUCAUCUAUGACACUGGGGGCAACUGUCCAGUGAAAAUGCACUGCCAUCCAGUGAAACCAUAACUGCUCUUUCUCUGCACGUGUAUUUGUCCUCUUGAAGCUGUAAUUUUUGACUGAAUGCCAGGUGUUGUUAUUUUAUCUUUUUGAGUACUAGCUAUUUUUGUAUCCCUGAAAUUAUUCUUGAGCUUUUUUUCCCCCUGUAACACAGUGAAGUUAUUUGGAAACAGUUUUAUUUAGCGUGUGCAUGGGAAGGGGUCUUGCUUUUAACCUUUCUUAGGUGGGACCAGAGCAGUGUUUAGUGUAGGGCAAGUCACUGAGGCAAGGCUCUUUGGGUCUUCUCUUCAAUACUUCUGAACCUUGAGGUUUUCUACUUUGGUUGGUGGGAGCAGGCACUAUUCUUGGUCUUAUUUGAGCACCUGCUACUGUUACCUCUAACUCUUUCAGUUGGUCCUGUCCCAGCUUCAGGCAGUGUGUCCAUGUGCAUGUGCUGAUCAGUACUCCGUGGAAUAUUUCAGGUUGACCUUCUGCAGAUGUGUUGAGUUCUCUCCCUGUACACUUCUUUCUUCUCUGGUAUUCUGUCCUGUAAACUCUAGAUGUUUUUGGUCUCCCUGUACUCUCAACUUUGUCACCUUAACUCAAGGCCUCCUUCAGGCUCCACCUGGCUUCUACCUGUUGUGAGUGUGACUGGCUAAGGCUGGCUUCAUGGGAAGUAAAAUAACUUACUGAAACAGAUGUGAGUUAAAACCAAGUUUAGGCCAGGUGCGGUGGCUCACGCCUGUAAUCCCAGCACUUUGGGAGGCCGAGGUGGGCAGAUCACGAGGUCAAGAGAUCGAGACCAGCCUGGCCAACAUGGUGAAACCCUGUCUCUACUAAAAAUACAAAAAUUAGCCAGGCAUGGUGGCACACGCCUGUAAUCCCAAGCUCCUCGGGAAGCUGAGGCACAAGAAUUGCUUGAACCUGGUAGGCAGAGGUUACAGUAAGCCAAGAUCACACCACUGCACUCCAGCCCGGCGACAGAGUGAGACUCCAUCUCAAAACAGCAAUAACAACAACAACGACAAAAACAAGUUUAUUAGCAGAAAAGUACGUUGCAAGGAAGCAAUGGCCCACACAGCAGAGAAGAGGCUGUCUGCCAAGAGGCAGGGGCUGAAAGGAAGUUUUCUAGGGCCAUGCUGGAGGGGUUACGUGCAGAGAGGAUUGUGCUGCUGGGAUAUAUGCAGAGCAAGGUAUUUGGGAACAGGAUGUUGUAUAGCAGGUUGUUUGUGAUUAGCUGUCUCUCAGAACAGUUGUUCUCCCCCAACUGGGGCUGCCCUUUUCCUUGUUGGUGCUAACUUACCUUGUCAGGACUCCACACUACCCACCUUCGCUGUAGUCUGGAAACUUUCUUAAUAAAUUGGGGCAGUCCUUUUGUUUAUUUCCCAGUCUCUCAGUGAUUGCUGUUUUUGUUCAGUAUCAUGAAAACCACUGGAUGUUGGUGUUACACAUGGAUGGAAGGGUAAAUCCAAUUUCCAUUAUUACAUCCUGGCUGGUCACUGAAGUGUCUCUCUGUAAAUUCUUAAAACUGUCCUCUGUCAGAGUCCAUCUGAAAUUAGUGCUUUUCUCUCCUCCUGAUAAUGGGAUUCUAUUAGUGCUGAAAAUGUAAGUUGUAGGCUUCACUGUGAAAAACUGCACAGCCUCCCCACAAUAUCAUCACCAGUCUGCCUGCUGGUCUUCUCUGUCUUUCGUGGAUUCCUAAAUAGGUUUACAGGGAGUGCUAAGGGGAUGGCCACACUUAGGCCUACUGAGGGUGACUCAGCACAGAAUGGGAAGUCUGCAAAAGAGUAAAGUGAGGUGGUCAUUUCUCAGCAGAUAACGUUUAUUGUUACCCACACUCUUUUUCUAAAAGAUUCGAGGAGUAUGAGAUACUUAUUUAUUUCUAAAGUCUGCCUGUGUUCUAGUCAUGAACAUUCAGAUGCUGAGAUACAGGAUAAGCAGGAAGCAGAUGUUUCUGUCCACAGGAACCUCCCUGUCUGUGGGAGAAACAAAUGCUAUGUAAAUAGAAAGUGAUAAUAUAGUGUGAUAAACUACAGCUUUCCCAUUCAAGGACUUUUAGAAGAUAUUCUCUUUUCCUCCUUGUACCAUUUUAACAAAAGCAGCACAGCACUAUAUUGAUGCCUUUUUAUACUUGCAUUACUUGCUGAAAAUGAAGUUCUCUAUUUUAUCUGUCAGCAAACACAUAAGAGCAAAAAUUAUUUUAAACAUUUCUUCUUACCAAGGCUAACUUUAUCUUCAUGUGGCACGUUUUAGUAAUUUACCUAGUUUGUAGCCGUCUAACUAGAAUUUGCUGAUUGUUUAUGUAUAUCUUCAGAUUGCUGAUAGAUUUUAUUCUAAUAAGCGAAAAGCAAUUCUAAGCCUUGAUCCUUAAAAGUUGUAUUUCCCUUGGCAGCAGUUCUAGCGGAAACAAUGGGUAGUCUCUUUUUAUUAAAUUUAUUUUAUUUAUUUAUUUAUUUUUUGAGACAGAGUCUCGCUCUGUUGCCCAGGCUGGAGUGCAGUGGCGCGAUCUCUGCUCACUGCAAGCUCCGCCUCCCGGGUUCAAGCGAUUCUCCUGCCACAGCCUCCUGAGUAGCUGGGACUACAGGCUCAUGCCACCAUAUCCAGCUAAUUUUUUUGUAUUUUUAGUAGAGACAGGGUUUCACCAUGUUGGCCAGGCUGGUCUCGAACUCCUGGCCUCAUGAUCCGCCUGCCACGGCCUCCCAAAGUGCUGAGAUUACAGGCGUGAGCCACCAUGCCCCGCCUAAAUUUAUUCUAUUUGUAUGAAAUAACUCUAAAAAGUUUGGUCUUCAUUAGUGUUUUUACUUACGCUUCAAGAUGCUGAAUUAUUUCUGUAAAAAUAUAUUGGCAUUUCUGUUGUAUAAGACAGCAUUAAAUGAAAUAGUUUCCUUUCUUUUCCAAGUAUAUUUUUAAAAGUACAUUAGUGUAGCCUAUUUUUUGUUUUUUUUGCUUUGUCUUUUGAUAGUGAAACAAAAUACUACUAUUCUAAGCUUGGGUUUUCAAAAUACACAUUAUUCACGGUAUAAAUUCUUCAGUAGCCUGGUAUUAUAGCAUAUGAAGGAGGAAAAAUUGGAUCCACUUAGCUCUGAUCACUUUUUUGUUAGCAAUUUAUGUGUAUAACUAACAGAUUUCUCCUGAAGAAAACCUCAUUAUUAAGCUAAUUUAGGGGAAUUUAGUAAAGAAAUGAUUUGGAGGAAAGCAAGUAAAGUAAUCCAAAUAUACAAUAAUUAUACCAAAGUUUUAACAUAGAUUUAUAAGAACAUUUUACCACUUUUAAAUUUCUUCCAAAAUUGACAGAUACUGAUUUUUUUCAUAACUGUCAGUGAAAGUCCUAUGGGAGACAGCUCGAAUUUUGACAGCUUCAAGAAAAUGGAUGGCUUCUCCUUCUGUGUGGUAAUUGAUCUUGCCAUUUGAAGAAUUAGCUCAUACGUAUAGAUUUGGAGAGAGUUACAAUAUGCAAUACAGCCUUACUCUAUUGAAAAUAAGUCAGUCAUUCUAUGAAUUAAAGACUUUAGCAUGAAGAAGGUUGCUCUGAAGGGCAGAGUAUAUAAUAUUAUUUGGUUGCAACUUUUGCUAGCUUGGUGGAUCUUGAGAAAUCUUUAGUGAACUUGCCAGUUUCGUGUUUGUAGGGGGUAUGCAUCUAUCCAGGAUAAUCAUCCCCCAUUGAAAACUAACCUUUUCAAGGUUAAGUAUAAUGUUAAACAAAUAAUAUUGCUCCAGAAUGAAUUUCCGUGCAGUUUGUAUGAAUUAACAGCUGGCUAAUAAGCAGCUCUUGAAGUCUAUCAUAAGCAAAGUCUUGUAUUAGCCAUAGACUGAGCAGACCUAUUGCUGCCUAUAGCGUUUACCUCACAUGGUGAAGUAGUCUGGGAAAAAGCACUGUCACUGUUCCACUCCAAAUAGCUGUCAUUGUGGUAUUACAUAAACUAGCAGACUGCUAUGGGAUGCAAAGGGGAUGUACACUGUUUUGGUGAUUUGAGGGGACUUUGGCAUGCCCUUGUAGGAGCCCAGAAGGAAGGAUCAUACAGUUUAGUCUUAAGUUGUGCAAAAACAUGACCACAUGAAUGAAACCAGUCUUCUUGAGGCCAAAGGGCUUAUAAAGAGGAAAGAUACACACCUUGAGUAGACUUCUUUUUGAGCAAGGAUAUCCAGAAGUAGAGUGUUAAGGCAAAGCAAAAGAUUCUUUGGACUGCACUCAAGUCUGUCUUUUUAGGCAUUUCUUGCUUGUGUAGCAUGGAAAGGACCACUGCUUGCUCAGUGUGGCGUUUUUUUCUGCUAUGCUGGACCAUGUGAGUAGCCAUUGAGAAAAUUUAUUCCUGAGUCAAAAUAAGAGGGCAUUAAAUCUCGUAGAACUGAAGUUGGCACUGGCAAGACUGAUUACUAUGAUGGGAUCCCUUGGAGAGCAUCACUGGUGAAAGCACCUGGAUUCUAUUUAGAAAAACAUAAGUAUGUAAGUUGCCUUCUUUGGGGGAUGAAACUUAUAAUGAACUAUUGUAGAGGGUAUGAAAGUCCAUGGCAUGUUCCUGUCAUAUACUAUACAUAUAUGCUAUACUAAGAUGUUAUGCAUGGGUGAGGGUCCUUGGUAAUGCUCACCUGUCAUUUCCUAUGUACUUUAUAUUUGUUUCUCUUUGCACAAGGAUUUGGUGAGUUAUCUUACGGACAAUGAAAGGAGAAAUGUCUUAAUGCAGAGUUCGCUCCUAAGUUUAAAUGAGAAAUAUCUAAAAUCCUAAAUUAUAUUAAUGUUCAUGGUUUAGAACCCUUAAAAUGGAAUUACAGUACUUUUGAAUUAGUAGGUAUAAGGAACAUGGCUCCACUGCAGCCAGGCAGGAUAGGCCGAGGUAAACAUCCUGGGUGACUCAGCGAGUCUGUAGCGCAGGCGCGCAACUCCAUGUAUAAUGUAAACACAGCUAGGUAGCCAUAACUUGGGAGGGCCAUCCCUUGACUCUUCGCCACUAUUGUCUAUAAAAGGUCUAAUUGCCCUGGUGACACUGUACAGGCAUGCUUGCACCCAAAGAAAGAGAGCGCCAGAUCUGUCGUCUUGCAGUAGGGAGCCAGGACACAGCUCAGCUUGCUUGCGCCCAGAGGGAAAGAGUUAAGCUGUUGACCCCAAUGGGAGAGAGAGCCAGCAGAGCAUCUGUGCUUGGGAGUGGCUGGAGCAAGCAGCCGAGACACACAGUGUAAGAGAGCUGCUGAACAAAAUUGUAUUUCACCUACCUGUAGCCCCCUGAGUGUUCUUUCAGCUAUCUGCCAUUCAUCCACCCACUCCCUUCGGGCCUCAGCAUGGGCUGGAACCUGACCCUGGACCUAACAAUGGGGAUUUUAGGGACUUAAGAGAUCAUAGAAAUGAACUCUUUACAGAUGAAGAGACUGAAUCCCCAAUGGUUAAAUGACUUGUCUAAGACCACACAUCUAGUUCGAUGCUGAGCUAAGACAGAACCUGAUUUCUGGUUUCUAGAUGUACAGCCCUUACUCAGUGGCAUGUACUGUAAUUCACAGUUUCCAUUCACUUGUUGCCAAGGCCUGCCACUUCCGAGAGUUUCCCAGUUUUGAUGUAAGUGUACUUUGCCAAAUGAGAAAUAGCUUGGAAAUAUAACUGAAGAGACAUUAUCUAUUGUGGCUGCAGCUGAAGCACCAACUUUUAACCAGUAUUAGCACUGCUUAUGUCAGCUCCUAUCCUUAUCUCAAAUAAUUCUGCCUUCCUAUAACAUAUGAUGCGGACUCCUGGGAGCCGCCAAAAAGGACACUCACUGUGAGGUCUUGUCCAGGUCUCUGCUUCUUCCUCCUUGUUCCCAGAUGGCAAACUGGCAUCCUCAUAGUAAGACUGGGCUGCUUUCCACCUGCGCAGCCCCAUGGUAAGCACCUGCAGCUCCAGAGGGAAUUUAUUUUAGUAAAACAAACAAACCUGGAGACCAGGAGAUCAAUCAUCAGUAGUUUGGUAAUAAUUGAGAAGUAGGUCAGAGGCUUCUAUUCCUUUUUCCAUGAGACCUGGAUGUGUGAGGUUGUUCUUGAUGAAAGCUGAAUUUUUAAAUGCAGGUUAAUGGCUUUCUUGGAAGCCAGCAAGCAAUUAAGGUUUUCUCAUGCAUACAGAAAUUACAGCUGCAAGGGGCAAUUUUUUAAAAUUCCUUUGGAUUCUUAGAACAUACUAUAUUUAUUUAUUUUCCCUUAAAUUCUGACCUUAAGCUUAAAAAUAAGUUUGUUAAUACUAAUGUUGUUUUCCCUUGAGCUAGCUUCGAACCUCAAAUGAAUUGCAAACUGCAAAGUGACUGCUGUAGGGCUACCCUUUAGUAAGCUGGUACAGUUGAAUGGUAAGGAAUCCAUUUAUAAAAAAUAUUGUAUGUGAGCUGUGUCCAAGGCUAUUACAAUAUUUCUUUAUCAGACUAUACAUAACUUUACGUUUGUAACAUGGUACAGUUCCAACUGAAUAGGCAGUAAUUUUCUUUAUUAGAGUUGCAUUUAGAGUGGUUCAUUCAUCAGAUUUUUAUCAAAUAUAUUCUUUGUGUCAUUCAUUGUGAUAGGUUCUGGAAGAUGUUUCAGAAAUGGUCCCUGAACUCUAGGAGCUCACAGUCUAGGAAGAAAAAAGACAAAUAAAAUUAUACCAAUAUAAUGAAUGCAGUUUCAUGGCAUAUAAAGAGUGUUAUGGAGACACAGAGCAAAGAUGUAACCCUACCUAGCGUCAAAGAAGACUACCCAGAAGAUGGUGCACUAGAAGGAAGAGAAAGAAUUGGCUGCAUCAACAGGACAAGGGGAAAGGACCUUCUGAGAAAGAGAAGAGUGUGUGCAAAGCAGUGGAGGCCUCAGGGAGGAUGGUGGUCUGCUAAUACUGAGUUUAGUGUGGUUGUCUUUGUCUUACGUUGCUUGCAGGGAAUAAAGCUAGUAUUUGCUUUGCUAGCUGGACUGAGCUGGGCUAUACUAAGUUGUCUGACCUUUAUCCUGUACACAUCAGGAACUACAGGAGGUUUUUAAGAAAGGGAGUGAAGUCAGAUUCAUGGUUGAGGAAAAUAUUCUAGUAUAUAAGCAGUGAAUAGAAUGAAGAAUGGGAACACUGAUUGGAAAGCAUUUAUAAUAGAUGGUGGAGGGCAAGUUUUAGGAAGCAGGCAGUGAUUGUGAUGUCAGAAUCAAUUUGUAUGAUAUUUAAGUAGUCCACCCGGAACUCAGUAAAGCAAAGAUUGUUGAAGAGGGUGAGCUUGAGAGACUGGAUGGAUGUUGAUAACAUUAAUUGUGUGAGGGUAUAAUCUCUUUGCUGAGAUUUUAAGUACGGUAAUUUUCUGAUGUGAUACCUGUAUUCAUAGCGUAACCCGUGACCCUCUUUGGCAUAGCCCUUAUGCCUCUGUAUUAUGAUUGUCAGUCACUUCCCUGAACUAUAAACUUCUUGAGGUCAGAGAUAAGUUUUAAUGGUUCUUCUUGUUCCACAGCUCCUGACACAGGGCUUAGUUAUGUAGUAGGUGCUUGGUAGAUUUUGGAUGUUUAGAUGUGGCUGCAUCAGCCAUCUACUUAAGAAUUCCUCUUUUGAAUUCUUCCUUUGCACAAGAAGACCUUUGUUUCUUAACCAAAGAAGACCAGCUCUGAAAGAUGUAUGAAGUUGUAUUUGUGCUAGCCACCCGCGAGCCCAUGGUGUGGGGGAGACAGACAAACACAUUCCAGUGCUGGGCAUCACUGAUGUGAUGACAUGUGCACAGGUCUUUGGAAGCCCAGAAGAGGAGCAUGCAGUUCAGCUGAGGGGACCAGAGAAGGCUGAAGAAGCUGGUGCCUGAGCAGAAAAGGAUCAAGACGUCACUGGGAGGGGCAGAGGGUCUAAUAGAGAUACCAACGCGGGGCUUGCCGCAAACACUCAGGGCCACAGAAGAGGAAAGUCCACCAUGGAGGGAGGGAAUGGCAAAGAGGCAAACUGGAGAGAGGCUCUGAGAUAUGCCCAGCAGAUUUAGAUGCAGAUUAGAUACAAAAGAUGGGAACUGUGAUGUGUGUUAGGUUUGUUAUGAUACCGAUUUCUGGUAUUUCUGGAAGGAUAUUUAGACAUGAAGAAAUGGCUCAUGUGAUAUGUGACUUUAAAGUCCUGAGGGACAGCCAGAAAUGAUCCUGUAAGUUUUGCUGUAGAAAAAACAAUGGCUUUGUGUAUCUGCCUGGGCAUUGAAUGGCAAUUCUUUGACCUUAUUACAACCCAGAGGGCUUUAAACGUCUGGAAAGUGAUGGACUGUUGGUGGUGGUGGCAAGGGGGGGGACAUGCUCUCUAGAAGAUCAGUCUGAAAGAGCCCCAAGUAUCCAGAUACACGAAGUCAUAAUGAUACAAAAUUUAAAUCCUGUAGUCUUUCACAGCAGGCGGAAGUGCAAGGACUGGGCUUAUGGUUCAAUCCUCUCGUGUAAGUUUAAGAAAGUUACUUGGCCGGGCGUGGUGGCUCACGCUUGUAAUCCCAGCACUUUGAGAGGCCGAGGGGGGCGGAUCACGAGGUCAGGAGAUCAAGACCACGGUGAAACCCCAUCUCUACUAAAAAUACAAAAAAUUAGCUGGGUGUGGUGGCGGGCGCCUGUGGUCCCAGCUACUCAGGGAGGCUGAGGCAGGAGAAUAGCGUGAACCCGGGAGGCGGAGCUUGCAGUGAGCCGAGAUUGCACCACUGCACUCCAGCCUGGGCGACAGAGCGAGACUCCGUCUCAAAAAAAAAAAAAAAAAGAAAGUGACUUAACCUAUCAGAGCCCUCCUAGGGUGGUAUACUGCUGGGUAGACUGCUGUGUUUCUCACACGGAGUUGGUGUGUGGAUCAAAAGAUGCAGUGUAUGGAAAGUCCCUGGCAUGGGACUUGGCACGUGAGGUUCCUUCCCCUGUCUUUGUUAGUUUCAGCAUAACAUUAUCACCAGCCCUCAUGGUAGUGUUUUUCCCUUUGGUCAGAAAUAACAUGAGUAUCACAAACACUGCAUCAUCUUGGUGGUCUCCCCCAGGCAGCUGCCCCAUGAGAGCGGCUGGAGUCGUCCUUGUAGUGAGAAUGCAGCUGUGCUCCUAGGACAUGUUGGGCCCCACCUCCCUUAUGGCCAGGUGUGUUUUGGUAGUUAGACACAGUUCUGCCCCUGUCCGCAUAGGGGAUAUAUGCAGGGCAGUGAAACACACGCCAUACCGACUUUUAGUAAACCAGGAAUUUGUGUAGACUCUGUGGCUCUGUUUUUAAAAAAGUAUUUGGUGGGUAAGAAGGGGACUGCCAAUGAAUGGGAUUGUUUUUAUAUGUUAAAUGUAUCCAAAUAUGCACAGAACCCUUUGAUCCCAUUUUAGAAUUUUAUCUUCUGCUAAUAGAAUUUCUAUUGGAAUUUAAAAAAAAUAAACUGAAAAAUUAUUACUCUGAGGUAUUGUUAUCAAGUUUUAGGAACUUAAAUCAUUUUCAGUUUAUUAGUUUUAUUUAUACAUAAUAAUUGUAUGUAAUAAUUGUAUUUUUGUACCCAUUAAGUAAGCUCUGUUCAUCCCCCCUACUCUUCCCAGCCACUGAUAACCACCCCUCUACUCUCUACCUCAAAUUGUUUUAGCUCCCACAUGUGCGUGAGAACAUACGACAUUUGCCUUUCUGUGCCUGGAUUAUUUCAUGUAACAUAAUGUCCUGCAGGCUUAUCCAUGUUGCUGCAAAUGACAGGACUUUAUUCUUUUUUAUGGCUGAGUAAUAUUCCACCUCACAUAUAUACAUUAUAUUUUCUUUAUGCAUUUAUCUGUUGAUGGGCACAGGUUGGUUAUGUAUCUUGACUGUUGUGAAUAGUGCUGUGAUGAAUGUGAGAGUGCAGGUAUCUCUUUGAUGCACUGAGUUCCUUUCUUUUGGAUACAUACCCACCUGUGAGAUUGCUGGGUCACGUGGUAGUUCUAGUUUUAGUUUUUCACUGAACAUUCAUAAUGUUUUCUUUUGCAUAACAGUUCGACUAAUUUACAUUCUCACCAACAGGAUAUGAGAGUUCCCCUUUCUCUACAUCAUUGCAAGCAUCUGUUCUUUUUUGUCUUUUUUAAAAUGGCCAUUUUAACUGGGGUGAGAUGAUAUCUCAUUAUGGUUUUGAUUUGCAUUUCAUAAUGAUUAAUGAUGUCGAGAAUUUUUUCAUAUAUGUGUUGGGCAUUUGUCUUCUUCUGAAAAAUGUCUAUUCAGUUUAUUCAGUUAAUUUGCCCUUUUUUUUCUGCGUUUGGUGGUUUUUUUGCUAUUGAGUUGAGUUCCUUAUAUAGUCUCAUUAUUAAUCACUUGUCAGAUGGAGAGUUUGCAAAUAUUUUCUCGCAUUCUGCCUCUUUACUCUGUUGAUUGUUUUGUUUGCUAUGCAGAAGCUUUUUAGCUUGAUAUAAUCUCUUUUGUCUGUGUUUGUUUUUGUUACCUGUUCUUUUGUGGUCUUAUCGAAAGACAUCUUUGCUGGGCCAAUGCCCUGAAGCAUUUCUCCAAUAUUUUCUUCUAGUAGCUUCAUCAUAGCUUUGGGUUGUACAUUAAUGCUUGAUCCAUUUUGAUUGGAUUUUUGUAUAUGGUGAGAGGUGGGGUCUACUUGCAUUCUUCUAUAUAUGGAUAUCCAGUUUACUCAGCACCAUUUAUUGAAGAGGGUGUCCUUACCCCAAUGUAUGUUCUUGGUGCCUUUAUCAAAAAUGAAUUGACUGUAAAUGUGCAGAUUUGUUUUUGGAUUCUCUGUUCUAUUCCACUGGCUUAUUUGCCUGUUUUUAUGAGAAGCAUGAAAUUUUUUAAUAUACAGGGUGGUUUUCCAGGAAUGGAAAUAGGUUUAUUUCUAGUUCUCCUGUGGUUUCCUCUUUUCUGAUAGGUCUUGGGUAAUUUCGAACAGCAGUUUAAAUUUGCACUGUGCAUGUAAGAAUUUUGAAAUCAUUUCCACAUUUUUUCCUCACUUCUUUGGAAAAAAUAAGCACUUAAAAUGACCCCCAGCCUGAAAAAGUAAGAUUAUGCCUUAUCAUUAAUCAGAUUUUAUCAAAAGUAUAAUACCACAUACAUGGCCUUUAGUCUAAAUUGACUUUUUUCUUAAAAUAAGAUUUGAAUGGAUAACAGAAUCUUAUAUAAUAUUUAUGAGUAAAAGCUACAUAUACUUUUAAAGAAAAAAAUUGUGUUAAAUGACUAGAGGACGUAUCCAGAUUUCUGAGUCUAUGAUUAUUAACAGUUUUGUUGGUGAUGAGCAGCGAUAAUGUGGUGAGGACACCUAUUUUCUUGUCCGUUUUGAAUUCAUGCCCAGCAGAAAGGCUACAGGUAUUAUUAAACGUUUAUAUAAAAAACCUUUGAGUUUAAAGUUGAAAGUAGCAUUGGAAACACAAA